AAAAAAGAUUGAGGAAGUGCACAGAGAUGCUGCACAAGAACUACAGGCACAGUCUAGUAGGCUGGCCCGUGGUCCUGGAAUCAAUCCAUCAGCUAGAAGGGGGCCUCCUAUGGAAUUCAGUCCAAGAGGAUCGACUAUGUUAUCUUCACCUAAUGCCCACAUGAAAUUAACUCCUCAAAACUAUGAAAAACUAUUCGAGCAAAGGCACCAAGCUGACAGGAAGAAUGAAGUGGGUAAAGUGAGUGAUGAAGAGCAGGUCAAGCAAAGGCAGUUAAAGGCUAUAGUGAACAAGUUAACUCCUCAAAACUUUGAAAAACUAUUCGAGCAAGUGAAAGCUGUUAAUAUAGAUAAUGCGACUACUCUAACUGGUGUCAUUUCACAUAUCUUUGACAAGGCUCUUAUGGAGCCUACUCUCUGUGAGAUGUAUGCUAACUUCUGUUUUUAUCUUGCCGGAGAGUUGCCUGAUUUCAGUGAAGACAAUGAAAAGAUAACUUUUAGGAGAUUGCUUUUGAACAAGUGCCAGGAGGAAUUUGAGAGGGGAGAAAGAGAGCAAGAGGAGGCCAAUAAGGCUGAUGAGGAGGGUCAGGUAAAACAGUCUGAAGAAGAAAGAGAGGAGAAAAGAAUCAAGGGGCGAAGAAGAAUGUUGGGUAACAUUAGCUUGAUUGGGGAGCUAUACAAAAAGAGAAUGUUGAUCGAGAGAGUAAUGCACGAAUGCAUUAAAAAGAUGUUAGGUCAGCAACAGACUCCAGAUGAGGGCGAUAUUGAAGCUUUGUGCAAACUAAUGAGCACAAUUGGGGAGAUGAUUGAUCAUCCGAAAGCCAAGGAGCACAUGGAUGCAUAUUUUGAAAGGAUGAAAAGCUUAUCGAAUAACUUGAAAUUAUCUUCUAGGGUUAGGUUCAUGUUGAAGGAUGCAAUUGAUUUGAGAAAGAAUAAAUGGCAGCAGAGGAGCAAAGUUGAAGGACCAAAAAAGAUUGAGGAAGUGCACAGAGAUGCUGCACAAGAACUACAGGCACAGUCUAGUAGGCUGGCGCGUGGUCCUGGAAUCAAUCCAUCAGCUAGAAGGGGGCCUCGUAUGGAAUUCAGUCCAAGAGGAUCGACUAUGUUAUCUUCACCUAAUGCCCACAUGAAAUUAACUCCUCAAAACUAUGAAAAACUAUUCGAGCAAAGGCACCAAGCUGACAGGAAGAAUGAAGUGGGUAAAGUGAGUGAUGAAGAGCAGGUCAAGCAAAGGCAGUUAAAGGCUAUAGUGAACAAGUUAACUCCUCAAAACUUUGAAAAACUAUUCGAGCAAGUGAAAGCUGUUAAUAUAGAUAAUGCGACUACUCUAACUGGUGUCAUUUCACAUAUCUUUGACAAGGCUCUUAUGGAGCCUACUCUCUGUGAGAUGUAUGCUAACUUCUGUUUUUAUCUUGCCGGAGAGUUGCCUGAUUUCAGUGAAGACAAUGAAAAGAUAACUUUUAGGAGAUUGCUUUUGAACAAGUGCCAGGAGGAAUUUGAGAGGGGAGAAAGAGAGCAAGAGGAGGCCAAUAAGGCCGAUGAGGAGGGUCAGGUAAAACAGUCUGAAGAAGAAAGAGAGGAGAAAAGAAUCAAAGGGCGAAGACGAAUGUGGGGUAACAUUAGAUUAAUUGGGGAGCUAUACAAAAAGAAAAUGUUGACUGAGAGAAUUAUGCACGAAUGCAUUAAAAAGAUGUUAGGUCAGCAACAGACUCCAGAUGAGGAAGAUAUUGAAGCUUUGUGCAAACUAAUGAGCACAAUUGGGGAGAUGAUUGAUCAUCCGAAAGCCAAGGAGCACAUGGAUGCAUAUUUUGAAAGGAUGAAAAGCUUAUCGAAUAACAUGAAAUUAUCUUCUAGGGUUAGGUUCAUGUUGAAGGAUGCAAUUGAUUUGAGAAAGAGUAAAUGGCAGCAGAGGAGCAAAGUUGAAGGACCAAAAAAGAUUGAGGAAGUGCACAGAGAUGCUGCACAAGAACUACAGGCACAAUCUAGUAGGCUGGCCCGUGGUCCUGGAAUCAAUCCAUCAGCUAGAAGGCGGCCUCGUAUGGAAUUCAGUCCAAGAGGAUCGACUAUGUUAUCUUCACCUAAUGCCCACAUGAAAUUAACUCCUCAAAACUAUGAAAAACUAUUCGAGCAAAGGCACCAAGCUGACAGGAAGAAUGAAGUGGGUAAAGUGAGUGAUGAAGAGCAGGUCAAGCAAAGGCAGUUAAAGGCUAUAGUGAACAAGUUAACUCCUCAAAACUUUGAAAAACUAUUCGAGCAAGUGAAAGCUGUUAAUAUAGAUAAUGCGACUACUCUAACUGGUGUCAUUUCACAUAUCUUUGACAAGGCUCUUAUGGAGCCUACUCUCUGUGAGAUGUAUGCUAACUUCUGUUUUUAUCUUGCCGGAGAGUUGCCUGAUUUCAGUGAAGACAAUGAAAAGAUAACUUUUAGGAGAUUGCUUUUGAACAAGUGCCAGGAGGAAUUUGAGAGGGGAGAAAGAGAGCAAGAGGAGGCCAAUAAGGCCGAUGAGGAGGGUCAGGUAAAACAGUCUGAAGAAGAAAGAGAGGAGAAAAGAAUCAAAGGGCGAAGACGAAUGUGGGGUAACAUUAGAUUAAUUGGGGAGCUAUACAAAAAGAAAAUGUUGACUGAGAGAAUUAUGCACGAAUGCAUUAAAAAGAUGUUAGGUCAGCAACAGACUCCAGAUGAGGAAGAUAUUGAAGCUUUGUGCAAACUAAUGAGCACAAUUGGGGAGAUGAUUGAUCAUCCGAAAGCCAAGGAGCACAUGGAUGCAUAUUUUGAAAGGAUGAAAAGCUUAUCGAAUAACUUGAAAUUAUCUUCUAGGGUUAGGUUCAUGUUGAAGGAUGCAAUUGAUUUGAGAAAGAAUAAAUGGCAGCAGAGGAGCAAAGUUGAAGGACCAAAAAAGAUUGAGGAAGUGCACAGAGAUGCUGCACAAGAACUACAGGCACAAUCUAGUAGGCUGGCCCGUGGUCCUGGAAUCAAUCCAUCAGCUAGAAGGCGGCCUCGUAUGGAAUUCAGUCCAAGAGGAUCGACUAUGUUUUCUUCAUCUAAUGCCCAUAUGGGUGGUUUCCGUGGGAUGCCUGCUCAGGUUCGUGGUUAUGGCAGUCAGGAUGUCCGUACAGAUGAAAGACAUUCUUAUGAGAGUAGGACCUUGUCAGUUCCCUUGACACAAAGACCAAUUGGUGAUGAUUCUAUAACUUUGGGUCCCCAGGGUGGUCUUGCCAGAGGAAUGUCCAUCAGAGGACCACCAUCAAUGUCAGCUGCUCCUUUGGCUGAAAUGCCUCCCAGUGCUGGAGACUCUAGGAGGAUGACUGCUGGUUCGAAUGGUUUCAGUUCUCUUUCAGAGCGGACAACUUACAACCCAAGGGAGGAUCCUGUGCCAAGAUAUAUGCCAGAUAGAUUUUCAGGUCCAGCUGCUUAUGAUCAGUCAAGUGUGUCAGAGCGUAAUUUAAGUUUUGGUGGUAGGGACCUGAGGAGUUCAGAUCAUAGAACUCUUCCAACUUCACCACCCACACGUGCAUAUGGAGCAGCUUUAACAAAAAAUGUUCCUUCAGAAAAUGUGUUGACUGAAGACCGUCUUAGAGAUAUGUCUUUGGCAGCAAUUAGAGAAUUUUACAGGUAUAUUCUUAUUUUUUGAGAGAGCAGUUCUUUUGUCAUGCAUGCUUUAGACUGUUCUAAUUAAUUUUUGUUAUAUUUUAGUUCAAUGCAUCCUUCAGAUGUGAUAAUUCUCUGCGUGCUAAAAAAAUCUGCCUAUGAUUUGCUUAAUGUGAUUAUGCAUUCAAUUCUUGAAGGGAAAGUGGGGCAUGUGAUUAUGCAUUCAAUUCUUGAAAGGAAAGUGAGGAAUGAAUAGGACUUAGGAGCAAUGGUUGGUCAUCUUCCAGUUUUUUUGGUCAACUUCAAGUUGCAUAAAUAGAAUCGGGGUUGUUUGUCUCUGGCAUUGAAUGGACCCCACAGGGGUUGGUACAGAAGACAGAAUGGAAAAGAAAAAAAAAACAAAGUAAAGGAGUUGAGUUAGUUGUGAUGGGUUUUUUUUGUGCGAUUACUUGUAAGUCUUGUAUGCUAUGUUAUAAAGUGGUAGACACAAUUCGUUCGGACUCUCGUAAAUGUAGUUGGUGUCAGAAUAUGGGAUCCACUAGCAAAGCUCAAGUGGCAUGGGAUGAGUAAGGUGUAGGUAGGAGGUACUUAAGUUUGAAUAUCUGUGUUAGAAAAGAAACUAAAAGAAUGUAGACCGUAAGACAGUGAUUUCUAUCUACUCUAACAUUCCUCUUGGUAACCAACUCAUCUGUAAUUGUUAGUUCUCAAUUGGAAAAUUCACUUCCUACGCAGUUGGCCUAGUGUUUUAGUUGCUGUUUUGGUUAAACCGCAUGAUUGCAAUUGUUUAAGUGUUUAUGUUUUUUUUUUUCACAUCUAUUGAAAAAUAUAAUUUAGGGUUUCUUUGCAUAACUUACGCAGAUAUAGAAAUAAAUAAGUUUGGAUCAUUUUAUCAUUUUUCAUGUAUGUCUUAAUUUUUUGGAGGGUUAUCUGCCCUCGUAAUGUUUUGCUGAAUUUAUUGUUGUGCAUUCAAGGAUAUUGAGAAACCUUGAGAAGUUAUUUUGCAUGGAGAAUUGUAGACUUUGUACAACAUUUGACCUGCUACUUUGGAAACUUCUAGGUUGACUUGAAUGCAGUGAGUGUAAUGACAAGUAAUGUGAUAUCUAAAUGUGUUUAGUUUAAUUGUGGCCAGCCUCGUUUUCCCCUGCUUCUUCUUAUCAUAUUAAAACAACUCAUUCUUGCCCUGAUGCAUCCGCUUGAUGUCAGAGUCAGACCUCGGCGGAUGCUCGCAAUCUUUGACAUUAAAGAUUUAAAUACAUAUUGUUGAUGUUCAGUCAUUGGCUUUCCAAGAACUCGUCUUAGACUACGUUCUAGAUAUAUAUAUACGGUUUGAUGUAUUGUACAACUUCUGAUAACCCUUGUUAAGAUUUUUCAUAUGCUCUUCCUUAAUUUUGUUUUCCUUUCUAUUUUCAGUGCUCGAGACGAGAAAGAGGUUGCCUUAUGCAUUAAAGAGUUGAACUCACCAAGCUUCCAUCCGUCGAUGAUAUCUCUUUGGAUCACAGACUCUUUUGAGAGGAAGGACGCUGAACGAGAUCUCUUGGCAAAGCUUCUAGUCAACCUUACAAAGACCAAUGAUGCAACUUUGAGUCAAUCUCAGCUCAUCAAAGGGUAAGGGAAAGUUUACAUCUGCAUUUGGUUAUUGAAAUUGACGGUCUUCUCGGUUUUGUAUGUUUUUCUAUUAUUUAAUUUCUUCUUUUAUCUGCCUAGAUUUGAAACUGUUCUGUCGACCUUAGAGGAUACGGUGAUUGAUACCCCGAGAGCACCAGAGUUUCUUGGCCUUAUCUUUGCCAAGGUCAUUUUAGAGAAUGUCGUUUCCUUGAAUCAGAUCGGUCAAUUAAUACACGAAGGUGGAGAGGAGCCACGGCAUCUUCUGGAAGUCGGGCUUGCAGGCAACAUUCUUGGGAACGUCUUGGAGAUUAUCAAGUCGGAGAAGGGAGAUAACGAUUUGAACGAUAUCCGUACGUCCUCCAACUUGCGGUUGGAGACUUUUCGUCCCCCAGAUCCUCUCAAAUCAAGGAUUCUAGAGAAAUUUAUUUAGAGAUUAGUAAUGCUCAUUAUAAUCGUGCUAGAAGGAAUUCAUGAGUAGUAGUGUUCAAAAACUCAUAAUUAUAUGCCUGCAAUGAAGAACUUUUGUACCGAAACUGUGAUUACAAUAUGCAUAAUAUCGUGUAUGUAUUCUAUCUAUUAUAUCCCAAAAAAUGUAACUAUACUGCAAAUUCUUAUGUAUUUGUAAAUUAUUAAGACCUCAAAACUUUACAUUUUCUUUUUGUAUUUAUUUCGAGUGAAGUGUAUUUUUUAUUUUUUUGAAAUUAUUGUGAAUAUAGCAAUUGAUUGAAUGGUUCGGAUAUGUAUUUAGGAUGGUUUAUGAUGAAACAGAUGCUUCCUCCCAUCCUUUCAAUGAAUUUAUUGUUUGUGUUGCCAGAGAAAAGUAAUGAGAUAAUUGUAUAGAUCUAUAGAAUUAAUAAUUUGAUACUCUACCUUCUUUUACGAUAUACAACGAUAAAUUUGCAUUGAAUGAAAUGAUAAAGGGUAAAUUUAUACUCUACUUUAAAUUAAACUAAAUUAUAAGAAGAUGAUUGAAACUCAGGUGACAUACGUAUUACAUGUGCAAUUUUGAUGACGUAUUACAUGUGCAAUUUUGAUGACUAAACUUGGGUCAACAAUUGCUUGCAAGAGCCUAAAACAAAAACAAAUCCAAUUACCAGAUGCUUUUUUCUAGUUUAUGUUUUUUGGUGUAUUUUUAUUUCUUCUAGUUAAUGGACAUUAAUUAAUCAGAGUAAGUAUACACUGAUUCUGCUAUGGUGCUAUUCUCGUUAAGUGGAGGGGUUGGUUUGACAAAAAUAAUCUUUAAAAGGUGAUCACGUGAUCGUUUAUGUGAUAAUUAAUGAAUACAACAACAACAACAAAAACAAAGCCUUUUCCCACUAAGUGGGGUCGGCUAUAUGAAUCCUAGAACGCCAUUGCGCUCGGUUUUGUGUCAUGUCCUCCGUUAGAUCCAAGUACUCAAGUAUUUUCUUAGGGUCUCUUCCAAAAUUUUUCUAGGUCUUCCUCUACCCCUUCGGCCCUGAACCUCUGUCCCAUAGUCACAUUUUCGAACCGGAGCGUCAGUAGGCCUUCUUUGCACAUGUCCAAACCACCGGAACCGAUUUUCUCUCAUAUUUCCUUCAAUUUUGGCUACUCCUACUUUACCUCGGAUAUCCUCAUUCUCAAUCUUAUCCUUUCUCGUGUGCCCAUACAUCCCACGAAGCAUCCUCAUCUCCGCUACACCCAUUUUGUGUACGUAUUGAUGCUUCACCGCCCAACAUUCUGUGCCAUACAACAUCGCUGGCCUUAUUGCCGUCCUAUAAAAUUUUCCCUUGAGCUUCAGUGGCCUACGACGGUCACACAACACGCCGGAUGCACUCUUACACUUCAUCCAUCCAGCUUGUAUUCUUCUGUUGAGAUCUCCAUCUAAUUCUCCGUUCUCUUGCAAGAUAGAUCCUAGGUAGCGAAAACGGUCACUUUUUGUGAUCUUCGCUAGAUUGCUCCGGUCAUUAGUGUGGAUAAGUAUAUAAAUGGAUAGAGAUAGGAAAGCAAACACAAGAUGUACGUGGUUCACCCAGAUUGGCUACGUCCACGGAAUAGAGGAGUUCUCAUUAAUUGUGAAGGGUUUACACAAGUACAUAGGUUCAAGCUCUCCUUUAGUGAGUACAAGUGAAUGAUUUAGUACAAAUGACAUUAGGAAAUAUUGUGGGAGAAUGAUCUCGUAACCACGAAACUUCUAAGUACCGGAGUGUGGUAUCGUCUUGACUUGCCUUAUCUGUCUCAUAGGUAGAUGUGGCAUCUUCUCUGGAAGUACUAUUCCUCCAUCCAGGGGUGGUAUCUGUAACUGGUGGAGAUGCACAAGGUAAUGUAUCAAUUUCACUUGAAGCUUACUUGUAGUUUCAGGUUUGGUCAAGCGCGAUACAAACCAUGUAGUAGGAGUCCCCCAAGUCGCCGAGCUAGGGGAUCUGCUGAAAGAGGUGACAGACAAGGUAAGCAAUCAGAGCUCCGGCUGAUUGUUCACAUUCUCCCUAUCUUGCAGGCAGCAUGAAGGAUAAAGAGAAAAAAUGAGAAGAGAUGAUAUGGGAUACUUUUGCUUUUGAAGAAGUAACUUUCCACAGGCUUAUUCUUGAACUGGGCUGGAGGGUUUUCUGGUUUCCUCUAGAGUAUAAGGCCGACUAAAGAAUUUGAGGGUUAAAAUAAGUCCAUCAAAUCUAGAGUACGUUCGACCCUGCUGAUAUGGGAUACUUUUGCUUUUGACAGAGUAGUGGAUGUAUCGGCACGUGUGCUGUUACGCUUGUCUCCACAUGCUUCCUUGUAUCCUUCUCACUUGCCCUAUAUGUUCCUCAGGCAGAUGUGGUAUCUUCCCUGGAAGCAUAAGAUGUUGAAGAUGAGUACUCGAGAGCAAUGCCAGGUAAGUAAUCAGGUAAGGGGUUCCAGGCAGUCAGUUCCUGGCUGGAAGCUUGAUUCCAAGUGCUGACUGAUUGCUCUCUUUCUCCUUGUCUUGCAGGUAAGAACAAGGCCAAAGGAAAAGACAGGGAAAAAGCAUGAUAUGGGAUACUCUUGCUUUUAACCCUGAUGAUAUGAGAUAUUCUUGCUCUAGUAUAGCUUGUUUACAGAGGUAUUAUCGGGGGAAAGAAAGCUGAAUAUUUCGAAAGGCUUCGUUGGGAGUGCCCUCUCAGAUAAGAGGAAGGGUUGAGCAUUUUGCAGGUCUGCCUGUCCGUUGGGGAUGGAGGUCGACAUAUAUAGGAGUCUCCCUAACAUCAAGUAAUAAUGCUAUUCCUUUACCCUGCUUGGUCAUAGCACGGUAGUGGGAGCUGCCAGCUUCACAUGUUUUAACUCUGUCAGAGCACUUUGAAAAAGUGGUCUGUGGUAUCUGGAAAGUUGAUGUUGCGUGUGAAGAUUACAGACAAGCUUUAUCCAAGGAGAUCCAGCUCUUGAAGUUGGGAAAGUGGUGCCUCUUCGGUUUUCGAACAAGCAAUCUUGUCGGGGAUCUGACUCUCGAGAUUCGGAGAACGAUGCCUCUUCGAUUUUUGAGAAAGCAAUCCUGCUGGGGGUCUGGCUCUCGAGAUUCGGAGAGCGGUGUCUCUUCGAUUUUUGAGAAAGUAAUCAUGUUGGGAGUCUGGCUCUCGAGAUUCGGAGGGCGGUGCCUCUUCGAUUUUGGAGCAGGCAAUCUUGUUGGGAGUGUUUUCUCGAAUGUGAGUAAAGGUUGGGCAUGUUUGCUAGUCUACCUUGCCACGAAGCACAGAGGUUGACACACAGGGACUUUCCAAUUAUCCAGCAGUGGUACUGUUCCUUUACCCUCUCUUCGAUUUUUGAGAAAGUAAUCAUGUUGGGAGUCUGGCUCUCGAGAUUCAGAGGGCGGUGCCUCUUCGAUUUUGGAGCAAGCAAUCUUGUUGGGAGUGUUUUCUCGAAUGUGAGUAAAGGUUGGGCAUGUUUGCUAGUCUACCUUGCCACGAAGCACAAAGGUUGACACACAGGGACUUUCCAAUUAUCCAACAGUGGUACUGUUCCUUUACCCUUGUGGGUAAUAAUAUGUUAGCUAGACCUUCAAAAUUUAUGUGUCUAAACUUUGUUAGUGUUGUUUCUUUGCUAUUCUUUUACCCUUCUUGGUCAGAGCGAUGUAGUGGGAGCUGCAAGCUUCACGUGUCUCAACUUUGUCAGAGAAUUGGCAAAGUUAUCUGUGGUACCCAUGAGCUACUGUUGCGUGUGGGAAGUGGGUGAUUGAACAGUACGAUUCAUGUGUUUUCUACUUCUCCAGAAAUCUUCGACAAAAUGCCCAUAAUUUCCACAAAGCUGAGUGUGCGUGUGACAGGUGCUGACAAGGCUGGAAAAGUAGGUGCCUUUUCGAUUUCUGAGAUCGGCCCUCGUGGUCUCUGAGCAGCCCAGCUUUUGAGAAAGCAAGCCUCUUCGAUUUCUGAGAUCAGCCUUCGUGGUCUUUGAGCAGCCCAACUUUUGAGAAAGCCAACGCCUCUUCGAUUUCUGAGAUCGACCCUCGUGGUCUCUCAGCAGCCCAGCUUUUGAGAAAGCAAACGCCUCUUCGAUUUCUGAGCAGGUGCCUCUUCGAUUUCUGAAGCUUCGUCGAGUGCAGAUUUUUAUAGGGGGUGACAUUAAGUUCCAAAGCACACUUGAAUAUCCACCAGUAAAAGCUACAUUCUUGCACUUCUAAGAUCUUGAUUUGUCCGACCUCUUCUCUCUUCAACACCUUUGAAAAUGUCUGGCCCCUCCGACCGUCGUUUUGACUUGAACCAUGUUGAAGAGGCAGCCCCACCUUCUCCAGACAACAUAUGGUGCCCAUCCUUCGUCUCUCCUACUGGUCCUCUUACCGUUGGGGAUUCCGUGAUGAAGAAUGAUAUGACCGCUGCGGUAGUGGCCAGGAACCUUCUCACUCCCAAAGAUAACAGACUGUUUUCCAAACGGUCUGAUGAGUUGGCUGUUAAGGAUUCUUUGGCUCUCAGUGUUCAGUGUGCAGGUUCUGUGUCUAAUAUGGCCCAACGCCUAUUUGCUCGAACCCUCCAAGUUGAAUCAUUGGCGGCUGAAGUGAUGAGUCUCAAACAGGAGAUUAGAGGGCUCAAGCAUGAGAAUAAAUAGUUGCACCGGCUCGCACAUGACUAUGCUACAAACAUGAAGAGGAAGCUUGACCAGAUGAAGGAAUCUGAUGGUCAAGUUUUACUUGAUCAUCAGAGAUUUGUGGGUUUGUUCCAAAGGCAUUUAUUGCCUUCGUCUUCUGGGGCUGUACCGCGUAAUGAAACUCCAAAUGAUCAACCUCUGAUGCCUCAUCCUUCUAAGGUUCUGUCCAGUACUGAGGCUCCGAAUGAUCCCCCUCCGGUGCCUUCUCUUUCUGGGGCUCUACCGACUGCUGAGACUUCUUUUAAGCAACCUUUGUGAAGGCUCCCUCUUGUUUGUUUAUUUUGACUCAAGUAUAUGUACAUAUUUGUAACUGAUCGGGGAUAUCAAUAAAUAAGAUUUCCUUCAUUUCCGCGUAUUGUGUUAAAUACACCAAAGCCUUCUUCGCUAAGUUCUUUGAAUUUUCUUUUGUUGAAGCUUGUAUGUUGAAGCUUUGUGAGUGGAGCAUGUAGGUUGAGGUAGUGUCCCCUUAAUUUCCCGAGUGAGGAAAACUUCUCGGUUGGAGACUUGGAAAAUCCAAGUCACUGAGGGGAUCGGCUAUAUGAAUCUUAGAACGCCAUUAUGUUCUGUCAUGUGUCAUGUCCUCCGUUAGAUCCAAGUACUCUAAGUCUUUUCUUAGGGUCUCUUCCAAAGUUUUCCUAGGUCUUCCUCUACCCCUUCGGCCCUGAACCUCUGUCCCAUAGUCACAUCUUCUAAUCGGAGCGUCAGUAGGCCUUCUUUGCACAUGUCCAAACCACCGUAACCGAUUUUCUCUCAUCUUUCCUUCAAUUUCGGCUACUCCUACUUUACCCCGGAUAUCCUCAUUCCUAAUCUUAUCUUUUCUCGUGUGCCCACACAUCCAACGAAGCAUCCUCAUCUCUGCUACACCUAUUUUGUGUACGUGUUGAUGCUUCACCGCCCAACAUUCUGUGCCAUACAGCAUCGCCGGCCUUAUUGCCGUCCUAUAAAAUUUUCCCUUGAGCUUCAGUGGCAUACGACGGUCACACAACACGCCGGAUGCACUCUUCCACUUCAUCCAUCCAGCUUGUAUUCUAUGGUUGAGAUCUCCAUCUAAUUCUCCGUUCUUUUGCAAGAUAGAUCAUAGGUAACGAAAACGGUCGCUCUUUGGUAUUUCUUGAUCUCUGAUCCUCACCCCUAACUCGUUUUGGCCUCCAUUUGCACUGAACUUGCACUCCAUAUAUUCUGUCUUUGAUCGGCUUAGGCGAAGACCUUUAGAUUCCAACACUUCUCUCCAAGGUUAAGCUUUGCAUUUACCCCUUCCUGAGUUUCAUCUAUCAACACUAUAUCGUCUGCGAAAAGCAUACACCAAGGAAUAUCAUCUUGAAUAUGUCCUGUUAACUCAUCCAUUACCAACGCAUCCAUCACCAACAAGCGAUGUUGAUUAGCCACGCUCUCUCCUGGUAUAACUUUGCAAUCCUUACAAGUUAUACGAUCCCCUUUCCUCAUUAGAAGAAAAUCUAUUUGUGUUUUUGACGACCCACUCUUGUAGGUGAUCACAUGUUCUUCUCUCUUCUUAAAGAAUGUGUUGGCUAAGAAGAGAUCAUAUGCCAUUGCAAAAUCCAAGAUAGCUUCCCCAUCCUCGUUUCUCUCCCCAAAACCAUGGCCACCAUGAAAACCUCCAUAGUUGCCUGUCUCCCUGCCCACGUGUCCAUUUAAAUCUCCUCCUAUAAAUAACUUCUCCGUCUGAGCAAUUCCCUGCACCAAGUCUCCAAGGUCUUCCCAAAAUUUCUCCUUCGAACUCGUAUCCAACCCUACUUGAGGUGCGUACGCACUAAUCACAUUGAUAAGUUCUUGUCCUAUUACAAUCUUGAUUGCCAUGAUUCUAUCUCCUACCCUCUUGACAUCUACAACAUCUUGUGUCAAGGUCUUGUCCACGAUGAUGCCAACAUCGUUUCUCGCUCUAUUUGUGCCCGAAUACCAUAGUUUAAACCCUGAGUUUUCUAGAUCCUUUGCCUUACGACCAACCCACUUAGUUUCUUGUAGGCACAUAAUAUUUAUCCUUCUCCUCACCAUAACUUCUACUACUUCCAUAGAUUUUCCUGUCAAGGUUCCUAUAUUCCACGCUCCUAAUCGCAUUUUGCUCUCUUGAACUCUACCCUUCUGUCCUAGCUUCUUCACCCUUCCCCGUCUAAUAGGAUCAAAGUACUUCUUUUGUGUGUCCCAUGUAAAGUUGAUAGGAGCAUAUGCUCCCAAACAACUUUGAGUGGAGUCGUUCGAAAAGAAGUUUCUAUAGCCCCCUUGCUCAUUUAACACUGCAUCCGGGUGCCGAUGGAGAUGCAGCGACCCUUGCUCACUUAUCACUGUGCUCGGGCCACACAGCGUGCCACUUACGGGUGAUGCCCUAGCUUUAGCGCGAUUUCGUUCUGGAUUCAUUUUCAUAAGGAUUCGACGUAAUCAUGGAGUGCCGGCUGUCGACUACCUGACGCCCUCCCCCUCCUCCUUUAUCCGGGCUUGGGACCGGCAAUGUAAGAUAAACUUACACGGCGGAGUUAUGUGAUAAUUAAUGAAUAUAUUAACAAAUUUUUCACGGAAUGAUCAAAAUGAUUUACAGUGGACACUAAUGUAGGAUAAGAUUGGGGUGAAUUUUUAUGAAGAAAAGCAAAGAAAAUGGAGCGCUUUAAAAUUGACAAGGAAUGACGCAGUAGAGAAAAUCUCCACUCAAAUACCAAAUAUGGCGUUAAAAUAGGAAGAAGAAUAUUGUGUUGGGAUUUUUUGGUUGCUUGAGAAAUGGACUGAAGGAAGACAAAAGGAUGCGGUGGGAAUUUAUUUAUUUGGUGUUCGAGCUCCGUUUUGAGCUCUUGAUACCUUUUCGAAAAGGGCGUGAUGUCCCAGUUCAAAUUCACUACUUUGUUGCGAUGUAUGAUGAAUUUUAGCCAUCAGGGUUGUUUAGAAGUCCAAAACCGCAAAAUAAACUUCGUAAUAAAUUUUGAACUUUUCAAUUUUUGUUGGAAUUCAUGUCGUUAAGUGGAGGAGUUUGAUAUAAGACAAGAAAGAUAAAGAAAAUAAAAUGUUUCAAAUUUUGAAAAAGAAGAAUUAAAGUUGGGAAAUAUUGGAUUCAAUUGAUAUGGCGACAUAAAAGGCAAUAAGAAGUAUUUUGGUAUUAGAAUUAGGUGUACAAUAUAUUGUUUUGAAUAGAAUCGCGAGCAAAACAAGAGUCAUGGUCAUCCCAUGAGCCCGUUGUGUUUAAGGUCAUCCAAGGUCAUUUUAGACUCCCAAAACAGCAUUUCAAAGUUUGUAAUAAAAAUUGGACUUUUGGUUUUUCGUUCAAUUUAUGUCAUUUUAAUUUUCCUAAGACUUCUGAGCUUCCCCAGGGCAAAGUUAAGUCUAUUUAAGCCUUUCGGCUGCUAUGUAAUGAUCAUUCAAGAAUCAAACAACAAACCUUUGAAAUUUUCUCUCUAAACUUGUGGUUCCAACUUUCCGAUUUUUGGGUUUACGUUUGAAUCCCAUUUACUACGCUCGUGCAGUGUCAAUUAGUAUCAGAGUAAAGACUUGCCAUGUCCUAAUGGCAAUCAAUGGUGAUCCAAACCUCUGUUCAACAUUGAUUGUGGGAAGAAAGCUAUUUAUGUAAUACCAAACAUCUUCUAUGGUGAUUGCAGACAGUAUUUUGUUGAUGGGGAAUGCGCUGGAGAAUUUGCCUCAAGCCAAACUCGUUAAUUUGAUGUUGGGAAUGCACUGAAAUGCAAUGAAAGAUGAUGUGAGGACUUGCGAUGAUGGAGUUGUACAACUAUUUUGCUACAUAUGGAUAAGCAACAUGGAAUGUGAGAUCACAUGCUUUUAUACUCAGACCAAUUUUUGAAAAGUUGAUUGGCCAACCCAUAUUUGGGACCAUGAUUUUCUGAGCCCAUGACACAUUCAAGAUGGACCGGAAUGCCUAUAGCAUAUAAAGCACGAUCCGACAGGCUGGCCUAUUAGUGAUAUUACUUUUCUCCCAAGUAAGGAAACCCUAAUUUAAGUUAAAUUAGGAUAGUUGGGGAUUACGCAAUGUAAUCAUGAUUCUAGAAGGAUUUGGUAACUUAUCUAAGAUUUCCUCCUAGAUAGACUCCUGAUUUGAUGAAGAUUACUUUACCUACAAGGACUCUCAAGAUCCCUAUAAAUAAUCUAGCCUGGGAAUUCAUCAGGGAGACAUGAAUCUCUCUUUUUCUGAUCGUCAAUGGAUUCAUCUUCUCGAGCAUACAUAUUCUCUAUACGCUUAACAGAGGCUCCCACGCCGCCAUCAUAUGCUAUUCGUCAUGGAUGAUUCACAUCAUUCUUUCUUAGGACUACACCCGCGGUUUGAUUCUCCUUCCCGGAGAUAUGUAGGCAGCCCUAUUCAGGUUCAACCACACCUCAUCCCCCAAUCAAUACUAUUCUCCCCUUGCUGGAGAGCAUGGGCAAGAUCGACUUGAUUUUGCCUCCGUCCUUGGAUGUGUGCAAAUUUGGUUCCAACAAUUGGUGCUCUCGUUGACAGAGAACUCAUAUUUCCCCGACCAGCAUCCUUUGCCAUUAGUAAUGACGAAAGCCGAAAGAUCCUGGAAAAAAGAACUUUGAUUGAUGUUCCAAAGACAACCAUGAAAUCCCAAAAGUCAAUACAAAGAUUAAUCUUCCAAGAAGGAAAUUGCCAAAAAGUUACAAUGUCCUCCAAAUAUAAUAAAGGAAGGACAUCCUACAUGACCUGGGCAUUUUGAUUAAUUUUAGAGAGGUGUAUUCAAUUGGGAAUUUGAGAGAUUUAAAUGGAUUUUUAUGGAGUUUAAUUGAUUUGUAUAAAUUCUAUGUAAAAUUUGAAUUCAAUUCCCUUGAAAUCUCAUGGAAGAGAUGUGAAGUUUAUGGAUGCUUAAAAUAUAUUACGAAACAUCUCCAAUUCCUUCAAAUUCCUCAACUUUUUCAAAUUCUUUUUGUUUUUUUCUUGAAACAAAUGAGAGAGGAUAGAGUGAGCUUAGCCUCACAAUAUACUAACAAUAAUGUGGUUCAAAUUCGCUUUGGCGAUAAUCGAACCCAAGUCUUCUCACUUACAAGCGAAGAGGAAUACCACUAGACUGUAUUAUUCAAUAGAAAAACUCAAAUUAUAAAAUACACCUAGAAUGUUAUAAACUUCUUUAAAGUCUUAAUUGAAUACACCUAGAUUUCUAAGGAUUUUAAUAUACUAUCUUAAAAUCAUAAUUGAAUACACAUUGAAUUUCAUUGAAUCAAUUAAAUUCAUGAUUGAAUACACAUAGAUUCAUUAAAUGAAUUAAAAUCCCUCAAAUUUCCAUUCGAAUACACCCAUUUAAAUGCCUUGUGCUGUUUUUUUUUUAAGAAUUGAACAUAUUCUUAGGUAAAACCAUGAUGAUUGACUAAAUUCACUCUUUCUUAUUUCUUUUUCUUUUUUUUUCUGCAAGGAUAAUGGCCAAUAGUUUUAUGAGUCAUUGUAAAACCAGGCCUGCCAGACAGACUUUCAUGGUGUGAAAACUACCUCAUGGAAAUCGAAAGAACUAUAUCGACUCCAAUUCGGGAUGACGUCCAUGCCAAUCAUGGAGAUAGACAGAAAAAUGAGACAUCGAGUCGAUCCCCUGCAAAAUCAAAUUGCUCCAUCUACAGGAGCAUCGCCAACCCCUUAAUCCGCGACGCCCAUUCGUUGGCAACUCGCCAUUCAACCUGCAAGCUCAACCCGACUUGGAACAGUAACAUUUGACGGAUUUAGGUGCACUCUCCGCUCUGCCGAACCCUCGAUCAACAUCAUCAUCCUGUUUUGCAAAUCGGACUGGAGCAACACUGUGCUCUGUCUCGGUCUAACAUAGCAACCCAAAUUACUCUGCGAAACCGACUCUAUUACAACACACUAAAUCUGCACUAUCCGUUUCGUAAUCCACCUCAUCUUCUCAGUCCAAUGCAGACUGUACAAUCUGCAGUGCUUGGUUGACCCGUGUGCUCUGCUUCAGUGAUGUCAUUCGCCGAACUCAUGGCUUACAUCAUAAAUUGAAACAUGCAACUCUCACCAUACCCGCAACGAAAAUCUAGAGAAUGCCGCUCACUCGACCCAAUCUGACUAUUGUGAGGCAAGUUCGAUUUGCAACAACCUUGGCUCUGCGCAGUAAUUUUGAACAAGGAACCCUUGCACUAAGUCUAAUGCAGUUUGGCUACUCCAUUUGUCCUAAUCUGGGGUACUCAGCUGCUAUGCCAUCCAGAAACCAAAUUGUUAUUUGAAUAAAAUGGUAAGGAGAAAGAACUCAAAAGAACGACAUCUUUCUCCUUGUUCAGAUCCCAAUUCAAUAUGUGUGGACCACCACCUCUUUCUCUUAAAAUGCUACUUGGAUGAGGAAGAAGUCCCAACACAAGACGAAGAAGAAAUGCCUCAGCAAGCGGAUAGGAUAAGGCUUUCCCAAUCUUAAGCGACCAAGUCACAUGUAGACCCGUCAGUUCUGACAUGACACAGUGACUUAUCGGAUCAUUAUCGGGUAACAACGGGUUCUUAAUGGGUAUACACGCGGGUAACAAGUGGGUAAUCUAUUUCGACUCGUUAACAAAAAAUUUAUUUGAUAAUUUUAAAGUUUAAUUACUAAAAGAUUUAUUAUAAAAUACAAUAGCCAUAUUAAUAUAUACAAUAUAUUCUAUAUUAAAUAUAUAGUUUUGUAUUAUUAUUCUAUAUAAGUUUUUUAAAAAAAGUUUUAGUCAUUAUUUAUUUUUAUUAUGAGAGUUCUUUAUUAUCAUUACUAGGAUAAAUUUUACUUAACAUGUUGUUGUCCAAAAUUAAAAUAAACUAAUAUAGUAUUUGUAUAGGCAAGAACUAAGAAGACAUACAUACAAGUAUGAAAAAUGUGAAAGAAUAUAUAAACACUCGUGAUUCAUCAUUAUUCCUCUACGAGUAAAUAAUGGUUACACUUACAUUUUCGUUUAGAUUUUUAAAAUCCUCCAAACCUUCACGAAUAAUGUUUUUUAUUUGAGGGAAAAAUUAAUAAAAUUAAUAAUAAUUAUUGUAGAAGUGUAAAAAAUGUAAAAAAAAUUACAAUCACUCAUAGUAACAAACUUUACAACUUUCAUGAAGAGGCCAGCUUCGAAAUCCAACACUAUAAUUCAUAAACCUCCAUUUAUGCUUUAUUCUUCUUACUAAAUUUCAUUUUUAAAAUUUUCUUUUUUGAAAACAUGAUCAUCUAGCAGAUGUAAGAAGAUGAACGGUUCAGAUUUUUGAUAUCACGUUUUGAUAUUUACGAUUUGUUUGUACCAUACUUAGGGCCUCCUUAUUUAGACCUCUUAUAAAGACUCGGGGACUCAAAUGUGAUUAUGUAAUAAAUGAAGGGGCAAUAUGUAAUAAGUGAGGAGCCCUUAUUCUAUAAAAGGACUCCUCACUCUCCUCAUUAAAUGGGUGAAAUUUAGGCCAUGGGAAGAGAGAAAAUAGGCUAGAGAGCACACUGCCUUUAGCCUCCUUGUACAUUCACCAUUCAAAGUGAAACAAUAUCAACAUCAGUGUGGACGUAGCCCAAACAUUGGGGUGAACCACGAUACAUCUUGUGUUAUUUACUUUCUUGCAGAUUCACGGUCGGAUUUACGUUGUUCCAAGACCUUCGGUUUUGUGCAUCAACAUUUGGCGCCGUCUGUGGGAAUCGACACGAAAAGCUAUGUCAGUCCUCUCUCAAAUUUUCAUCUCACCAUCGUGAAACCUCACCACAAUAUCCACUGUGAAUCUGCUCACCUAAAAACCACAGAUCCAAAUUUCUCAAUCCCAAAUUCCCCAAAACCCAUGAAUUCUCCAAAUUUCCCAAUCCACCAACAAACCCAAUUGAUUGAUUCACAAAAAGUUCAAAACUUUCCACUUUCCCACUUCCCCAUAUUCCUUAAUCUGAUUUCCUAAUAAGUAGCUUUUCCUAAUCGGAGAUAUUUUAGCUCUGGAAAUGGCCUGGGAUGAGCUGCUGGUCCCGGCGCCAGAGGAGAUUACUCAGACGCAGGCUCAAGCCUCUGCCGCCAGCAAGAAAAAAAAUUGCAGCUUUGAGAAGCUGGAUUUCGUUGGACCAUGACGGGCAGGGAAGGGUUUUGGAUUUAGACAAGCACGCCAUUAUCUACCGAGUUCAGAUUCACACUCGAGAUUUUCGACUUCUUGAUCCAUUGUUAUCAUAUCCUGGGAUAUCUGGCUUUGCAAUUAUGAGCCCUGGGAUAUUCCUGCGUAGCUGGCUCUGUUAUAGCAGCACCACCAGAACGGCUUCAACAAUGGCGGCGAGAAAAAGCACGUGCAGACCCUGAAGGAAAUCCUAACCCGACGACCCGUGGCGGCGACGAUCUGCCUCACAGUCCCGGUGGGAGCCGCCCGACCCGUAGCUCCAGUAGGUUCCGCUCUGGGUCAAUACAAGCUCAACCUGAUGGCUUUCUGCAAGGACUUCAACGGUCGGACCCAAAAGUACAAACCCGACACGCCCAUGGCGGUGAUCAUCACCGCCUUCAAAGACAACACAUUCGAGUUCACGAUGAGGUCGCUGUCUGUCACAUGGUACCUGAAGAAGGCGGCCGGGAUCGACUCCGGCAGCAGCCGUCCUGGACACGCGGUGACGUCGACGCUGUCGGUGAGACACGUGUACGAGAUCGCAAAGGUGAGGGCUGGCGCUAGGGAGUCUGCUUACCAGAGAUAUGAUAUCUAGCAGAUAGCUAGGUGGAUUGAGCAAAUUCUUCCGUUUUCAUUGCUCUUAUUCGUUGUGUUCAUUCGUCAGCAUUUGCAAGUGGUGCAGUCAUGUGCUCACAUGUCGAAAAAGCAGAAAGUGAAAAGAAAAAGCAAAAGCAAGUCUGCAAGUGAGUAUGUCUGGAUGUGGAGAGAUAGAGAGAGAGGUGCGGUGGAAAAGAGAAACUAAAAGCAAAAACAAAAGCUCAAAUUCCUUUCAAUUGUGCAGAUGAGCUCUGCUAACCCCUGACGUUUUGAAAGUUGCAGGAAAUGAAGUAGAAAACAUGGCACACCCAUACCACUGUCAUUGAUGAAUAUUUUAUUAAGUUGUCUUCUGCAAGCUAAAGCAAUUAUUGUAUAGUUAUACUGACGUGUUAAAAAGGUAGCAUGCCAAAAAAAAAAAAAAAAGGGCAAGCCCAAUAUAAUGGGCUGGAAUGUUAUGUGGAGGGCGAAUGCCCAUAUGCCUACAAGAGCUAGGCCUUAUGGCUUCAAACUCCAACCUUCAUCCCUCCACUUAAAGUUCACCUUCUAUUAUCACCAACCAGGUGAUCAAAAGUACGUCCAGUACUCCAAAAUUAUUUGGCAGCCUGUUGCUAUUAUCACCAACCAAGGUGAUAAAAAACACAUCCAGUACUCCAAAAUUAUUCGGCAGCCUGCCGCUAAUAUCACAAACCAGGUGAUGAAAAGUACGCCCAGUACUCCAAAAAAUCAUACAUGAGCAUCACUCAUGUCAAUCAUACAUAAAUAUUCAUGAGCAUCCUUCUUCACAACAUUCAUGAGCAUCACUUAUGUCAACAUCCAUGAGCAUCACUUAUGUCAACAUCCAUGAGCAUCACUCAUGUCAAUCAACAUAAACAUUCAUGAGCAUCACUCAUGUCAACAUCCAUGAGUAUCACUCAUGUCAAUCAACAUAAACAUUCAUGAGCAUCACUCAUGUCAAUCAGCUUCGAAAGCUUCAUUUACAGAGCUCUAGCUUCGAAAGCUUCAUUUACAGAGUUCUAGCUUCGAAAGCUUCAUUUAUAGAGCUCCAGCUUCAAAAGCUUCAUUUACAAAAGUUCCAGCUUCAAAAGCUUCAUUUACAAAGCUCCAACUUCAAAGCUUCACCUACAAAGCUUCAGUGCAUGGUAUACAAAGACUGCAUCCGAACAACCGCCACUUCGGCUCAUACAUGGAUUGAAUUUGAAGUCUCUAGCCAACAUACCCUAUUGACUGAAGACUUGGGGGACUACACUAUGUAUCAUAUAUUGGGCCUCAUGAAAAAUACUUGGGGGACUUAGCCCUUUAUUUAUGUACUAAGAAGCGAACCCUUAUUCUAUAAAAGGGACUCCCUCACCAUCAUUAGAGAGCAUCGCCGCCUGCUGAGCAACCGCCUCGCCGCGAGCAUCAACUUUAACCCAUCAUUUAUGUAUUGAUGAGCGAACCCUUAUUCUAUAAAAGAGACUCCAUCACCAUCAUUAGAGAGUAUCGCCGCCUGCUGAGCAACCGCCUCGCCACGAGCAUCAACUCUAGCCCAUCAUUUAUUUAUUGAGGAGCGAGCCCUUAUUCUAUAAAAUGGACUCCCUCACCUUCAACGCCACAAGCCGAGCCAACCAAGGCAACAUAAGCCACAAGCCGAGCAGCCUUGCAACAUGUGUUACUUAUAGUUAAGCAUCAUUUCAGAUUAAGCACCGCCUCAUAUCGAGUAUCAGUUCUAGACGAAAUCUAGUUACUUCGGCCCACACAUGGACUAAAUUUCAAUUCUCCAGCCAAAAGACUCUUUUGACUGAAGACUUAGGGGACUACUGUUUGUACCAUACUUAGGGCCUCCGUAUUUAGACCUUGUAUAAAUACUCGGGGGACUCAAAUAUGAUUAUGUAAUAAAUGAAGGGACAAAUAUGUAAUAAGUGAGGAGCCCCUUUCUAUAAAAGGACUCCUCACUCUCCUCAUUAAAGGGGUGAAGUUUAGGCCAUGGGAAGAGAAAAAAUAGGCUAGAGAGCACAUUGUCUCUAGCCUCCUUGUACAUUCACCAUUCAGAGUGAAACAAUAUCAACAUCAGUGUGGACGUAGCCCAAACAUUGGGGUGAACCACGAUACAUCUUGUGUUCUUUACUUUCUUGCAGAUUCAUGUCGGAUUUACGUUGUUCCAAGACCUUCGGUUUUGUGCAUCAACACGGUUAACUGAAAUAUGAGUUGAUGUCAUAUAGUUUGUAGAAACUUUAUAAACAUCAAGCAAUAUUUUCACUAAUCGUAAAACUUUGAAUAUAAUAUCAACGAUCCAAACCGUUCAUCUUCAUGCAUCCUCUAAUAGAUCAAGUUUUCAAAAAACAAAAUCUGAAAAAAAACAAAAUUUGAUGAGAACAAUGAAGCGUAAAUGUAAACAACAAUCAAUGGUUAAAUUUUGAUCUAUGAUUUAUAUGAUUAUAGUGACGAAUUUCGAAGUUAAGCUCUUCAUGAAAGUUGUAAAGCUUGUCAUUACGAGCGUUUAAAUAUUUUUCUAUAUUUUUUUACACUUCUAAAUUAAUUAAAAAAUUAUUAAAGACUUUAGGUAAGUGAAAUAUACUUAAAAGAAAACUGUGUUUUUAUGUUUUGGAUGUGACAAUAUGACAUGUAUAUACUUAUUUAGUAUUAUGUUUUUUAUUUGAUUAUUUAUUGGUUUACAAUAUAUUUUCCUUAAUGGGUAACGGGUCGAGUCAUAUUACUUGUUAAUAUUAUCAGGUCAAUUUCGGGUCGGGUCAUUUUAUCUGUUUAUUUUAACGAGUAUUACACGACACGACAAGUUAAGAUAUCGGGUAUGACAUGAAAAUGACACGAACACGGAAAACACGACACGAAUGCUAGGUCUAGUCACAUGUCUUUCUCCUUGGUGGUGGGAUCUAUUGAGUGAUGAAUGGGCUUGACAUAUAACAAGAGCCAUAUUGUAAAGGCACAUGAUCUGUGGUGCAUAAUAAUAGGUAAUAAGCUUGGGAAAGUGAGCAGCUUCGACUCCGACAUCGACACAACCAUUUCGACAAGCAUAGCAGAGUCUCAAAACAGAAAGAAAUUCAUUGAUAGUAAGCCACUCCUAAAAGAAAGUAUAAGUUCAACUUUGAAACUAAGUCUCAAGUUCCAUCAAAGUUCCGAACUCAAAUAUGAACUGUGAUAGUUGUACAACGCAGCGCAGUGAUCUUGCUACGACAUAAAGAAUUACAAAAAAGGAAGUCUCAUUUCUCUACCAUUAAUAUUACUCAAUUUUCAAUUACCGUUGCUUAACUUUUUUUGUUUGAGCUAGGAAUAAUUAUAUUAUUGGUGUAUUUUUGUUCACCACUCACCUUGUGAUUCCAAGAUGUGAUAUUCCCAAGAUUUAGGGAAAAGCAUGUCCAUAGAAAUUCCCCCAGGACGAACUUGGUUCACUAAAGCUUGUAAGUAGGAAGCAAAGACAGGUUUGGCUCUGUGCAGACUAACACCUCAUCACAAGUCUGACUUGUAUACCUCUCGACUAAAGUCUACAUGCAACUUAGUUCGAGUCCAUCAACAGUUUAACUGGGGCAAGAGCUCGCAAAGCUUUGGGGCAAUGUAAUCGUGCUUGAAACCAAUUCUACGCACUUGAAUGAUUUUUAAUGGAAAGUUGAUUUCCCGGAUAAAUUUCAAUACAAGGCAUGUUGGAGACGAAAGCUAAGACAGUGAAGAUAGUUGUAUCAAAAUUUCAUAAUUUUCUACAAAGCCAAUCUUUCAGGUUUUGGAACAAAGACAGCCGGAGCUGCAUACCCGUAAGAACUGCGCAGCUAUGGGAAAAUGAAGAUUUCAAAGCCUUCUUGAUUUUUUCUAGUAAAAUGCCAUAUAUUCCUUAAGAGAUAAGAAAUAGAGCUACAAUUUUCCACUAAGACAUAACGGUAUCAAAUAUAGCAUGCAAAGCAGCUGAACAGCAGGCCAGCCCAACCAGCACAUCGCAGCAACACAGCCAACUUGCCAGGUUAAACUAUACAUGCUCGGAAAAAUCUGAAUUUUAUACAAUACAUCGUCGCAAAGAUAUGGAUGUAAUCUUUCUGUAGAAUUUUGUAAAACUUAAUUCUGAGCUACGUGGAAGGCAUUAUCGCAUUUUUACCACCCAUAGCAUAAGCUGGAAUUCUUUGCGGGAUUUUCUAAGUUCUUUCUCCAAACUCAUAUCAAACGAGGUACAACGUGCCGCAACAACGUAUGAGUUCAGGAUGCACACAAUCAUCAACGACUAACCUAAAGGUUCUAACCGAUACAAGUUCGCUCCAACGAGCUAAAGACAAAAAUCACCCGCAAAGCACUGCGUGACAGCUCCACACUUGUCCUCCUCUACUACUAGCUUGUAAUGGAAAAUGACAAUGGAGAUACCAGAGUAAGAAGAAAAAAAAAUCUCAUGAACCUAAACAACCCCUACACCACAUGGCAGUUAUGGAUCUGGAUUCCCAUACAUGAAGAAGUCCGAACAACAUAUUACUCUGCUUUACUCUAAAACUAUUUAGAGUCAAGUAGAUCAGAGUAAGAAUGCCUUUGUAGUCUGGUCAGGAAAUAAACAACUUUCAUCUCAAAGCUUCACACAUAGAGCAAUGAUGCCACUAUCAUUCUGUUGGGAGCCUCAUUGAUGUUGACACUAAAUUUGCGCACUGCCGUGUGUGAAGGAAAUGCUCAGACUCGACUACCUAUAAAACAAUAAACAACCGUGACUAAGCCUAGGACCCGAGGGGUGUGUGUCGGCCAAAGGCUCUCCGACAGCCAAGUUAGUGAACAAUUUUAGACUCAGGCAAUUUGCAAGAGAAUUCAAGUGUUUAUGUUACGUUACUAGAGAUAAACCCUAGACGGGUGUAUUUACAUCGUGGGGAAAGAAACCUUUUUAGGGUAGAAUCCUUGUUCUAAGCUGGGAGAUUUCUAAAAGAUAUCUAGAAGUGGAUAUUUCACAUUCUUAGAAGGUAUGAUUACUUAUGAUGAACGCCAAUUCCUAGAUUGUAAGAACUCCAAGUCUUAAAUGAUCCAAUGGAGUUGCUAGGACUUCACCUAUUGCCCUAGAAUAGGGUGGUGAUGGCACUACUUCUCCGUCUAGUCCAGCUCCGCCCGGAGCCAAUGAGUCCAUGACUGGACUUCUGAGGCAACUGCAUUCGGAUCAGCCUUACUCUGGCCUUGGAAAAUCAUGGAUCAACAAUCGCCUCUAACUUUGCAUCUAAAAGGCAACUUGUUCCUCUUGAGGAUGAAUUGUUACCCAAGGUCAUGCUUUUCGGAGUAAGCUGGAAUACGUACUGUUUGGUCUUUUACUUUUAUGUUGAUUUGACCCUUGGCGUUAAAAUUAAACUACUGAGUCGCUUUGGUUUAUGUCAUGUAACCCUUAGAAUCGUGCAAAAUCAACUGUAAUGAUGACGGAUGCCUCCAUUUAGUGUGCACGUUUCAAAAAAACCAAUCACAUGUUUCUUUAAGUGGCUUCGAUCUUAUACGCGUCAAUCCAAAAAAUAAAGACUUUUCACAUUCAAUGGCGAUAUCCUUUAGUGACUUACUUUAAAUAGCUACUUCCCCUUUGAGAUUUCUAGUCAUUUUCACUUUCACACCAUGGAACCUCUGCAUUAUAACCAAAGUUUUCUUUCCACACUCAGUUUCCUCUCUGAUCUUUCGAUGUUCGAAAUUCAUCAACCAAAAACCUACUUUUUUUUUUCUUAAAAAUUUCUGCCAAACGAAACUAAGUAAUACCCAAUUUAGCCAUAAUUCCAUGCUAAUAUCCUUCGUUUUUUGAGAUUUGUUCCAUAACAUUCAUCCCUUCGUAGUAUCCUCCAUGCAGUCUUUGCAUAUGGGUGGAAUCCCAAUAACAUGUUGAGAUUCUUUAAAGGGUUCUUCAUCUCUGCUUUCUUCCUCAUCCUCCAUUUGUGGACGACGACGGUGAAAUAUCUCCAUCAGAAUGCUCGCCCUCAAUGUAGUAUCUUGCUCGGAAUGAAGCAAGAUGGGCAUAUUACGCAAUUAGUCCUACCGUAAAAACUCCAUUAGCAUCAUUGAUUCUAGCCAAGUAGCUUUCAAAAAUUUCUUUUGCCAGGGGUGAAGGCUUGUCACCCCAAAAUUGUAGUAUCUAUUUAAGCCCUUUUACUAGGACUUUGAUAAUAAACAUGUGCUUGUGAGAACUUUUUACUUUUCUUACACCUUCUUAUUUAAAUUCGAUAAAAUCUUUCCAAAGUAAACGAAUUUUUAGAAAUAAAAUAAGCAACGGAGCAUAAUACGAGUAAGCUUGUGGAUCUGGGGCAAAACUCAAAAGCUCUUUUGGUAAUGUUGAUUCGGAAAAACAUUACCUUAGAGAAACAACCUGCAAGAAACAAACCAAUAAUUUUUUUUUACCUUGGCCCAAUUCUUGGAUCAAGGAUUUCAAUACUUGCAAUGUAGUAUUAGGAGGGGAUUUCUUUCCCAGACUGGAUCACGUGUUAGUAUCCAGUGAAGCUUAAACUAAAGUUUUAUAGAGACUUGGUUGUUGGCAUGUGGGUCGAAAACACUUUUUGAAUCCUUUUGUCGGACCCUAUGCAUCGAACCUAAGCGUUUUUAAUUGGACUAACUUGACUAGCUUGGUCAGAUCAUAUCGGAGCUCCAUUGGAAUAAAAUUCCUCUUGAGGAUUUCCUUGUCUAAAUGCCCCUUUCAGACCUACAAACAUACAAUGUUGCAGAAUAUACUUGACUUAGUACGUUGGUCCAGGAUAGAAGUAGUCGUACUCAGGGUCAGAGUUCAGAGCCACCUUCGGAUGAUUUUUGGAUUGGCUCAUUUCCAAUAUUCCCUUAAAUGGCAUAUAGCCUAGGUUUGAAUGUUAUAACCCAUAACUUUGCUAGUUGUAUAAACUUUCAAGAUGCCGAAGGCAGGGCUGGCCCUAAGGGGGUGCCGGGGGUGCGAUCGCAUAAUGCCCCUGAUUUUUAGGGGCCCCUGAAUUCUACUAACCUUUAUAACAUAUACAUAUAGAUGGAGUAUGAACAUAGUUCACAAUGUUGCUUAGGGGAGUAUGAACAUAGUAUCUACAUAUACAUAUAGAUAGAGUAUAACAUAUACCCUAGAUGAGUGUGUUUAUACCGUUGGAGUUUGAUUACUUGCGGCGCACGCCUAUCCUUAUAUUGUAGAGACUCCAAAACUUGUAGGAUCUAAUUGUGUCCAUAUCCAGAUCAGAUGGCUUGUCUUGCAGAACAAGCAUGGUCAUCCAGCGGAGUUGCGAUGAGUGAAAGAUUUUAUAGUGUUUUUUAGGCUUUAAAAAGUUAAGGCUCUCCCCUAAGAUUUUGAAUGAAUUCCCUUAAACUCCAAGGUUCUAAAAAACGCUGGGCGCUAGUCGAGCGGCGGGCUAGCGCCUAGCGCCUAGGCGGCUAGGCGGGGUCUAGGAGGGCGCCUAGGCGGCCUAGGCGGAUUUAGGUAAAUUUCUUAUAUAUUUUAUGAAUCAAUUAAAUUUAUUAUAUCAAAUGUAAAUAAUUAUUGACUUAUAUGUUAUUUCUUAUAAAAGAAGAUACAUAUGUGAAUGUUUUUUGUACAUAUAUGAUAUACUUGCCUAGGAAAAAAUACAAAACAUUUUCUAAAUAAUUUAUAUAAGAUUUAUAUAUGUGUGUGUGUAUAUAUAUAUAUAUAUAUAUAUAUAUAUAUACACACAUACACCAAACUUUUAAAAAUAUAAAAAGCCCAGUGGGUGGUUUUCAUUACCAAAACCAUCAAACCGUCCACCUCACAUCACCUGUCCACCUUGUGGUUUCAUAAUUAAAACCAUGUCAGAGUCCAUAGUUCUUAUAAUUAAUUAUUAAAACCAUGCUUUUGAGCUUGGGUUCCCAGUCAACUUGCACGGUUGCACUUGCACCAAUACAUAUUCAAAUGUUUAAGCCUCUUUCUCUCUCUCUAUCUCUCUCUGUCUCUCUCUCUCUCUCUCUCUCUCUCUCUCUCUUUUCGCACUCUCUCUUUUCUGAGUUUUUCUAGAAAUCUCUAGCAAGCAGCCAUAGCUUCCGAUGCAGGUGCAGGUGCAAGUACAGAUGCCAAAUACGAGGUGUGAGAUGCGAUGCAGGUGUUGGAAACUUGGAGUUGCAGAUACUACGAGAGUUCGAGGCGAGAGAGUUGCAGUCUUGCAGAGCCUUCGAUGGUGGCGAGAGUUGCGGAGCACCUUGUGCGAUGGCAAGAAUUUCAGACCGCCUAGAGCGCCGCCUAACAUCGUCUAGACCACCUAGAGUGCCUAGCGGGUGCCUAGGCGGCCGCCUAAGUCCCCACCGAUUUUUUUAACGAUUUUCCCCAAAUCGCAGCGGGCUUCCACCGCCGAACGCCUAGGCGGCCGCCUUGAGCGUUUUUUAGAACACUGAACAUGAAGUCUAUGAAGCCUUAUUAAACUUCAUGGAUUUAUAACUCUUUUAAAGUCCUUAAAAAAAUCAAUAUAAUACACCCCUUAAAAGACUAAAGAUUAAAAGUUAAAAGAAAUUGAAACUAAGAAUGAAAAAUAGAAAAGCAUCUUAAAAAGGAGAAAUUGACUAGUUAGUAAUUGAAAAAGACCGAAUUAAGACAAUUAAAAUUCUAAAUUACAUGUGCAUAUGAUUCAAAAUUAUUGACACGUGGUAAGCAAAAUGCCACGUGGGAUCCAUGCACUAAGGGAGGGAUAUGUACAUUUAUUUUUGUUUGACUAAGAUGCUUCACUAAAACACCAUAAGAAGGUACAAUGGACAGCUCAAAAUGGUCCAUUCGAAACACAAAUAUAAAAGCUUCAUCAAAAGAUAUUGUUGCAUGAAAACUAUUACAAACAGUGGCGAAGUCAGGAAUUAUCAGGAAGAGCGGUGAAAUUUAAAAGUGUAAAAAGUCCUAAAAAUAUUUAGACAACCAAUUUCUUUUAGAUAGUAGACAAUAUUAAUUCGUUCAUAUUUUACCAAUAAAAACAAGUUACAACUGUUGUCGCAUGAGGUUUCAUGUCAUGAAAUCGUGGCAUAACAGGCUCAUUACCAAUAAAAGCAAAAACAUCUCUGUCAAUGUAAACAACCAUGCCGUUACUUAAGCACUGAUCUCUCAUUUUGUUACGCAGUUGUUUUUCACAAUAUCCGAUGUUUUAAAUAAAAUUUUUGUUGAAAGCUUUUGAUAAUAUUUCAAAAUAAUAAUAAAAAAGAAGAAAAAAGUAGAAGUGGCUUGCAUCUGUAUCAUUGUUAGCCACAACAAAAAUAAAACUUUGUGUUUCAACUUAAAUAGCAGUAAACCCAAGAACUGUCACCUUUUUCUUCCUCCAACUCCUUUAAACCACUGUUUUCUGCAACAGUCGUGGCUCGCACUGGAAAUGCCGAUAUUUUGACUUAUUUCCUAGAUAUUAGCCGGUAAAGCGAUGUUAAACAUGCAUUUGCUUAUAUCGGCGAGGUAGAUUCUCGCCUAUAGUAUAGAUUAAAAAAUAAAUAAAAAAAAGCAGCGUGUAGAGGAGCAACAACAUUCUUUGCAGGUUCCAUGUAGGUUUAGAGGAAUCAAAGGGGCAUAUUCUCCCUCUUAGGGUCGAUUUCCGACGAUCGAAGAUACGGCCGCACCUUCUUGGGCCUCUGUUCACGAGUGAUCAAAAAGCAAAACAAACAAAAAAAAUCAUAAUCAUCGAAAGAUAUAAAAAGUUAAAAAUCAAGAAAAUUGACAAUAAAUUUGAUAAAUAUUGACAAACUACAUUUCUUAGUUUGCACUAUAAGGUAUUAAAAUUGUAUCAAUUUAACCUUUUACUGAACUAAUUGUUAAACUUUCAUUAAAUAUAUCAAAUAGUGUGCGUAAAACCUUUAUAUGGACUAUUGUGUAAGUCAUAUUGGCACUAGAUUGACAGACAAGAAAAACUCUAAUUUAGAAAUGAAAAAAAAAAAAUACUACUAGACUGGUUGCAGAAUGUCUGGCGUUGUGGGAUGGCCUGUGGCUAGCUACGGCUAAAGGCUUGACUCAGAUUGUGGUGGAGAGUGAUUCAAAACUGGUGAUUGAGUCUAUCAGUGGAGCUUAUAACCCCCCUUGGAGAUUGAAGACCAUCCUAGAAGAUAUUCGAUGGCUUGCCGAGUCGUUUGAGGAGAUUUGGCGGAUGCUAUUACUAGACGGGGUUAUUCGGUCUCUGAUUUUCAUGUUUGGGAUAAAACUCUUCCUUUAGAAACCCAUCAAGCCUUCCUCUUUGAUUCUAUUUCCAGUCGAGGCCCACCCACGUGGGGUUGUCCCCCUUGCGUGUCAACCUCACUGUAGCCCAACGACUACUUUUCUUCAUCUAAAGACCAGGUUUAAUUGGACCAUUGGUUAAUCCAACGGUCCACGUUCAAAUAUUUUUUUUUUGUUUUAUAUUUAUAUAUUUAUUGAAUCCAACGGUUUAGAUUGAAUAUAAUUAAAUCUAACGGUCCAAAUUUAAAUUCAACGCUAAAAUAAUUUAAAAAAAUUAUUUAACUCAAAAUUCAACCAAAAACUCUAUAAAUACCUAUGUAUUUGUUCAAACAUCCACACAAAACUCACUUUUUACCUACAAUUCUUCCAAUUUUUCUUUCUACCAUUUCUUCUCAUUUCCAAAAUUUUAUUUCUACCAUUUAUUAAAUGUCGUUUGUAUUAAGUUUAUGUGGUUUAUCAUGAUUUUCAUGUAUUGAUUUAGUGAUUUUUCAAAAUUUAUAGGAAUUUAAAUAUUUUUAGGUUAAAAUGUUCAUAAAAUUAAUUUAGGAUAAUCUACAUAAUUUUUUUUAAAAGUUAAUUUAAAAAAAAAACCUUAAAUUCAUUCUUUAAUAAUAUGGGGCUAAAAUUUUAGGCUUGAAAGGUUGGAUCAAAAAAACUAUUUAUAAGUUAAAACCUAAAUUUUCUGAGCUGAAUAUAUUUAAGUUUUAUAUCAAAUUGGAGAUGGUGUCAGUGAGGUGGGUUUUACUCUAUACUCUUGGGUUGGUAAGAAUGAAUAAUAAAAAGCAAAAAUAAUUAGAAAAGAGGAUAAUGACUGCGUGGGUUUUACUCUCUCCUGGGGUGGGUUCAGUUUAAAUCAGUUCGGUUUUUUGCCAAAACCGAAACCAAACCGAAAUUUCGGUUCGGUUCAUUUUUUUUCGGUUCAGUUUUUCCGGUUCGGUUUCGGUUUUUUGUUUUUUUUCUUUUUCAAAAAAUGAAAAACAUUGAAAUUUUAAAUUUUAACAUAUCCAACACAAUCAUAACAUAAGCAUUCUAACUAGAAUCAAAGACAAUGAAAAUAAACAUUUAAAGUUGAAUUAAAAUCAUCAAUCAAGUCUUCCAAAGUCCAAACUAACAACCUCACAACACAAAAUCGUACAAAUGACUUAGAAAAGUUAAAUUGUAUGAUGUUGUUCAAAGAUCAGGGUUGUUUGCUUGUAACUGCAUGCUGACAACUUGAUUAGUAAAAGUAAUACGUGGAUGGAUUUAUUUAGUGUGUGUUGAAUUGUUUUCCAUCACAAAUUACCCAAAUAAUCUAGGGUUGUUUUAUGGGAACUUUAACGAAAAGCACCCGGUACUGUUCACUUUAACGAAAAACCACAUUUUUACACUAAAAAGUCAAUCUUGAUACUAUUCACUUUACCCUUUAUUUUGUCCUUAUCAUUAAAACUCAAAGUUUUCAAGCCCUUUUCAUUAGUUUUCCUUUGUUUUAUUGACACCCCACAUUUUUAUGAAAACACCCCACAUCCAAAAUAUUCCUCUAAAAUUCCAACUUUGUCCCUCAUUUUUCUAAAUACACCCCCACCCUCGUACAAAAGUCAACAGCAAACAACCUCAUUUAUACGGCCACUACCUCUGAAUAACUCCGUCGUUGACAUCGCAUGACCGACAACUCCCAUGCAGUUGGUAACAACCCAUCACCUCAACUCAUCCAAUUGGAUAACCCUUCAGCCCCAUCACCUCCGUCGCAAAAAUCUGUCGUCCAACACUCAAACUCGCCCACCUCGUCUCCAAAUUUCUUGUUGCCAAACUUUACCAACCAUCCAAAAUUCCAAAUAGGGUAGAAGAAGUACAUGCAAUUUCUUGGGAUUGUAGAGAGAGAGAGAGAGAGAGAGAGAGAGAGAGAGAGAGGAUAUGGUGCCAUGGUGAGAGGUUGGUAUUUUGCUCCAGAUUUUCUAGGGUGGAAUAGUGGAGGACGUCGUUGUUUUUGUAAGAUUGUGGAGUGUUUUAAUUUAGUUCAAAUAGGGGUAAAAGAGAAAAUUCAUGUGAAAAAAUGAAAGUGUGGGGUGUUUUCAUAAGAUUGUGGGGUGUUAAUAAAAUUACCCAUAAUCUACCCGAAAUAAAUGUUUAUGGAUUAUGUUACAUGUUAUAUGAGAGUAGAUUUGGAAAAGAAAGCUGGGGCAGAAGUAGACAGUGUUAUGGAGAUGGAUGUAGGUACUUCAGGAGGAGGAGGUUUGGUUCCAGAACCUUAUAUGGGGGAGAAAUAAUAGGUUAGGGUUUAGAGUUUUUAUAGGCAUUUUUUUAAUAUUUUGAUCUUAAAGUUUGGCAACACAUUGGGUUUAGCACAUUUUAACUUACAAAUUGGGUUUAGAAAAUAAUACCCAAAACAAAUAAUUAAAUAAAAAAAUUAAUUUAAGGGAGACUUUGGAUGCGGUCCCUAGUUAUGAACAGUCUUUGACUGAAACCUUAUUGGUUUUCAAUUUUUGAUCCAAGUCCCUGAGAUUAAUUGAUAAUUUAUUUCUAUGUACGUUACUAUAUUUUUUAAAUUAAAAAUUAAAAUUUAUAGUUGUUUAUAGUAAUGAGAUUUUAAAUAAAAAACCAUAAUUUGUGGGAUUAAAAAUAUUAAAAUAUAAAUAUACUAUUGUGUGUGUGUGUGUGUGUGUAAACAUGGGUACAUUCAUAAAAAUAACCAAAAAAUUAUUGUAUCAAAACAUGGGUACAUUCUUCAAAAUGGGUACAUUUAGCAAAAAUAAAAAAUGGGUACAAAUAAAUAAAAAAAUAUGGGUACAAUACAAAUAAAACUUUAAAAAAUAUGGGCACAAAAAGAAAUUAAUAUAUGGGUACAAAUUAAAACUGAAAGGAAAAUUGGUACAAAUUAAAAAAGGGUUGCAAAUUAAAAAUUGGUACAAACUAAAAAUAAAAAUAUAUGAUAAAAAAAUUUAGCCAUAAAUAUAAAUAUACUAAUUGUAACAUUUUUAAUAUUAAAUGAAUAUAUUUAGAAAUAAAAAAUAUUUUAUUAUUGAAAUAAUUAAUGAUAUUAUUAAUACAAAGGACCUUGAUCAAAAAUUGAAAAGUAAUAAGGUUUUAAUCAAUAGAGUAGUAAAAAUAAGGAUGAAAACCUAAUUACUCCUUAAUUUAAUUAAUUCGGUUCGAUUCGAUUUUUCAAUUCGGUUCGGUUUUUUCGUUCGGUUCGAUUUUUUUGUUCGGUUCGGUUUUUUCGAUUUCGGUUUGAUUUGGUUUUCGGUUUUUUGAGCCCACCCCUACUAUCUCCUCCCCCUUCCUCUUCUCUCUCUUACCAAAACACCAAGACAACUCUCUCUCUCUCUCUCUCUCUCUCUCUCAAGUUUUUCUUUCAUUUCACUCUGCGCUUUCUCAUGGUUUCCCAAUAAAACCCUAAUCUUUCUCCUCACUCACUCUCUAGGUACUCCAAUCAAACCCUAAUCACUCUCUUAAUCACUCGCUUACGGUACGAUUUUCGGAUAACUAGGUUUGAUUGAUUUGAUUUGGGGUUUGUGGAUCUGCGUGUUUGGUUGCAGAGAAAAUUUGAAGGAAAACAAAAAUUGGGAAUUAAGCGUAGGAAUAUAUGUCCUUCAAUCAAUCAAGGUCGGAUAAGAACGAGACGCAGUACCGGAAAACAGGGCGAACCGUAAGCUCUAAUCAGCAGCACAGGGGAUACUCACCAUCUUACCCUAAGGGCACCAGCGCCGGUUGGCCCGGCCCUACUAUCUUCUCCAACCGCAGGUGCAUAUAUAUAUAUCUCUUUCUCUCUCUCUCUCUCUCUCUCUCUCUCUCUUACUCUCUCUGUGUAUCGUAUCUACUGAUUGCGUGUGUCUGUGUGUAGAGUUUGUUUCUGAUCAGUUUUACUUCACUUUUAAGUUUUAACAAUCUAUGCAAUUAUAUUGCUUUUGAUUGUGAUUUCAAAUUUGGGUUUUUUUAAUACGUUUUUGAAUUUUUGAGAUUGUUGGAAGUUAGGGUUUGAUGAUUUUAUUUUCAAAUAUUCAGUUUUAAGAAGAAUAAUAACAAUGCACAAGGAGGACAAUCCAGGGCAAGUGCAACCACUGUAAAUACUCAGGAUUCCGGUAUUGCUUUUGCACAACGUGGCGGUGUACAAAACCGAGCCCAUGUACAGCCCCAAUUGCAUGGUACAGAUUUCGAAGUUUCUGUUCUCUUUCAGUCUAGAAAUUUAUAUGAUAAUGUCGUGAUUGUUUUAAUAGACUUUUACGGGUAGUUGAAGGAGUUUGGGAAUCUGAGAUAAAUGGGGUUCUCUUUUAAAAUCUGUGUUGCCCAUUUUGUUUGAUUCUCAUUUCUUGGCAAUGUUUUCCUGCGAUUGAUUUGAUGUAGGAGGUUCUGAUGCACCUGUUGCACGCACAGCUUCCCGGACAGCUGAAGCAUCAGCCUCUCAGAGAAGCUCCCGAACUGUUCCAAAAGCUCCCACUUCUCAAUCUGCCUCCGUGAUUUCUGACACAAGAACACCCACUACACCAGCGAAGCGUAAGUUCACACUCUGGACCAUGGAUUUUGUUGUACUCAAUGGUGGGGAAUGUUGGCGUAUUUUCACUGUCUCCAUGAUCACGUCGAAUCCUUAUGAAAAUGAAUCCAUAACGAAAUCGCGCUAAAGCUAGGGCGUCACCCGUAAGUGGCGCACUGUGUGGCCCGAGCACAGUGAUAAGUGAGCACAGUGAUAAGUGAACGAAAUCGCACUUGGUGCAAGGAAUUGCUCAGACGGAGAAGUUAUUUAUAGGAGGAGAUUUAAAUGGACACGUGGGCAGGGAGACAGGCAACUAUGGAGGUUUUCAUGGUGGCCAUGGUUUUGGGGAGAGAAACGAGGAUGGGGAAGCUAUCUUGGAUUUUGCAAUGGCAUAUGAUCUCUUCUUAGCCAACACCUUCUUUAAGAAGAGAGAAGAACAUGUGAUCACCUACAAGAGUGGGUUGUCAAAAACACAAAUAGAUUUUCUUCUAAUGAGGAAAGGGGAUCGUAUAACUUGUAAGGAUUGCAAAGUUAUACCAGGAGAGAGCGUGGCUAAUCAACAUCGCUUGUUGGUGAUGGAUGUACAUAUCAAAAGAGUGAGAAAAAAGAACAAGACUUGGAAGUGCCCAAGGACUAGAUGGUGGAAUCUAAAAGAAGAAAAACAAGCCAUUUUCAAAGAGAAAGUAAUCACCCAGUGUGUGUGGGAUAGAGAGGGGGAUGCUAACCAAAUGUGGGAUUCCAUGGCUAAUUGUAUCCGAAAAGUAGCAAAAGAGGUAUUAGGAGAGUCCAAGGGCUUUGCCCCACACCAAAAGGAAUCUUGGUGGUGGAAUGAGGAGGUACAAACAAAGGUGAAGGCUAAGAAGGAAUGUUGUAAAGCCUUAUACAAGGAUAGGACCGAUGAAAAUGGUGAAAGGUAUAGAAAAGCGAAGCAAGAGGCGAAGAAAGCUGUGAGAGAAGCUAAGUUAGCGGCUUACGACGAUAUGUAUAAGCGACUAGAUACCAAAGAAGGAGAGUUGGAUAUCUAUAAACUAGUUAGAGCAAGGGAAAAGAAGACAAUGGACCUAAACCAAGUGAGGUGCAUCAAGGAUGAGGAUGGAAAGGUUCUUGCUACAAAGAACGCGGUUAAAGACAGAUGGAAAGGUUAUUUUCAUAAUCUUUUCAAUGAAGGACAUGAAAGGAGUGCUUCUUUAGGGGAGUUGAGUAACUCAGAAGAAUGUAGAAACUACUCUUUUUAUCGUAGAAUCCGGAAGGAAGAAGUGGUCGUAGCUUUGAAGAAGAUGAAACAUAGAAAAGCAAUAGGCCCAGACGAUAUACCAAUCGAAGUGUGGAAAGUUUUGGGAGAGACAAGUAUAACAUGGCUCACUGACCUUUUCAAUAGGAUUUUGAAAACGAAGAAGAUGCCAAAUGAGUGGCGAAUGAGCAUUUUGGUGCCUAUCUACAAGAAUAAGGGCGAUGUACAAAAUUGCAUGAACUAUAAGGGUAUUAAGCUAAUGAGUCAUACAAUGAAGCUUUGGGAGAGAGUCAUUGAGCAUAGAUUGAGGCAAGAGACACGGGUUUCGGACAACCAAUUCGGGUUCAUGCCAGGGCGCUCAACCAUGGAGGCAAUCUAUCUCUUACGAAGAUUGAUGGAAAGAUAUAGAGAUGGGAAAAAGGAUUUACACAUGGUCUUUAUAGAUUUGGAAAAAGCGUAUGAUAGGGUCCCAAGAGACAUUCUUUGGAGGAUUUUAGAGAAGAAAAGAGUACGAGUAGCAUAUAUCCAAGCUAUACAGGAUAUGUAUGAAGGAGCAAAGACUGCCGUAAGAACUCAUGAAGGACAAACUGAAAACUUUCCCAUAACUGUAGGAUUACAUCAAGGCUCAUCCUUAAGUCUUUACCUUUUUACGUUGGUAAUGGAUGAGUUAACAGGACAUAUUCAAGAUGAUAUUCCUUGGUGUAUGCUUUUCGCAGACGAUAUAGUGUUGAUAGAUGAAACUCAGGAAGGGGUAAAUGCAAAGCUUAACCUUUGGAGAGAAGUGUUGGAAUCUAAAGGUCUUCGCCUAAGCCGAUCAAAGACAGAAUAUAUGGAGUGCAAGUUCAGUGCAAAUGGAGGCCAAAACGAGUUAGGGGUAAGAUCGGAGAUCAAGAAAUACCAAAGAGCGACCGUUUUCGUUACCUAGGAUCUAUCUUGCAAAAGAACGGAGAAUUAGAUGGAGACCUCAACCAUAGAAUACAAGCUGGAUGGAUGAAGUGGAAGAGUGCAUCCGGCGUGUUGUGUGACCGCCGUAUGCCACUGAAGCUCAAGGGAAAAUUUUAUAGGACGACAAUAAGGACGGCGAUGCUGUAUGGCACAGAAUGUAGGCGGUGAAGCAUCAACACGUACACAAAAUGGGUGUAGCAGAGAUGAGGAUGCUUCGUUGAAUGUGUGGGCACACGAGAAAGGAUAAGAUUAGGAAUGAGGAUAUCCGGGGUAAAGUAAGAGUAGCCGAAAUUGAAGGAAAGACGAGAGAAAAUCGGUUACGGUGGUUUGGACAUGUGCAAAGAAGGCCUACUGACGCUCCGAUUAGAAGAUGCGACUAUAGGACAGAGGUUCAUGGCCGAAGGGGUAGAGGAAGACCUAGGAAAACUUUGGAAGAGACCCUAAGAAAAGACUUAGAGUACUUGGAUCUAACGGAGGACAUGACACAGGACAGAACACAAUGGCGUUCUAAGAUUCAUAUAGCCGAUCCCACUCAGUGACUUGGAUUUUCCAAGUCUCCAACCGAGAAGUUUUCCUCACUCGGGAAAUUAAGGGAACACUACCUCAACCUACAUGCUCCACUCACAAAGUUUCAACAUACAAGCUUCAACAAAAGAAAAUUCAAAGAACUUAGCGAAGAAGGCUUUGGUGUAUUUAACACAAUACGUUGAAAUGAAUGAAAGCUUAUUUAUUGAUAUCCCCGAUAAGUUACAAAUAUGUACAUAUACUUGAGUCAAAAUAAACAAACAAAGAGGGAGCCUUCACAAAGGUUGCUUAGGAGAAGUCUCAGCAGUCGGUAGAGCCCCAGAAAGAGAAGGCACCGGAGGGGGAUCAUUCGGAGCCUUAGUACUGGACAAAACCUAGAAGGAUGAGGCAUCCGAGGUUGAUCAUUUGGAGCUUCAUUACGCGGUACAGCCCCAGAAGACGAAGGCAAUAAAUGCCUUUGGAACAAACCCACAAAUCUCUGAUGAUCAAGUAAAACCUGACCAUCAGAUUCCUUCAUCUGGUUAAGCUUCCUCUUCAUGUUUGUAGCAUAGUCAUGUGCGAGCCGGUGCAACUGUUUAUUCUCAUGCUUGAGCCCUCUAAUCUCCUGUUUGAGACUCAUCACUUCAGCCGCCAAUGAUUCAACUUGGCGGGUUCGAGCAAAUAGGCGUUGGGCCAUAUUAGACACAGAACCUGCACACUGAACACUGAGAGCCAGAGAAUCCUUAACAGCCAACUCAUCAGACCGUUUGGAAAGUAGUCUGUUAUCUUUGAGAGUGAGAAGGUUCCUGGCCACCUACCGCAGCGGUCAUAUCAUUCUUCAUCACGGAAUCCCCAACGGUAAGAGGACCAGUAGGGGAGACGAAGGAUGGGCGCCAUAUGUUGUCUGGAGAAGGCGGGGCUGCCUCUUCAACAAGGUUCAAGUCAAAACGACGGUCGGAGGGGCCAGACAUUUUCAAAGGUGUUGAAGAGAGAAGAGGUCGGACAAAUCAAGAUCUUAGAAAUGCAGGAAUGGAGCUUCUACUGGUGGAUAUUCAAGUGUGCUUUGGAACUUAAUGUCAGCCCCUAUAAAAAUCUGCACUCGACGAAGCUUCAGAAAUCGAAGAGGCGCCUACUUAGAAAUCGAAGAGGCGUUUGCUUUCUCAAAAGCUGGGCUGCUCAAAGAUCACGAAGGCCGAUCUCAGAAAUCGAAGAGGCUUGCUUUCUCAAAAGCUGGGCUGCUAAGAGACCACGAGGGCCGAUCUCAGAAAUCGAAGAGGCACCUACUUUUCCAGCCUUGUCAGCACCUGUCACACGCACACUCAGCUUUGCGGAAAUUAUGGGCAUUCUGUCGAAGAUUUCUGGCGAAGUAGAAAGCACAUGAAUCGUACUGUUCAAUCCCCCACUUCCCACACGCAACAGUAACUCAUGGGUACCACAGAUAACUUUGCCAAAGUUCUCUGACAAAGUUGAGACACGUGAAGCUUGCAGCUCCCGCUACAUCGCUCUGACCAAGAUGGGUAAAAGAAUUGCAAAGAAACAACACUAACAAAGUUUAGACACAUAAAUUUUGAAGGUCUAGCUACCAUAUUAUUACCCACAAGGGUAAAGGAACAAUAUCACUGCUGGAUAAUUAGAAAGUCCCGGUGUGUCAACCUCUGUGCUUCGUGGCAAGGUAGACUAGCAAACAUGCCCAACCUUUACUCACAUUCGAGAAAACACUCCUAACAGGAUUGCUUGCUCCAAAAUCGAAGAGGCACCGCCCUUCGAAUCUCGAGAGCCAGACUCCCAACAUGAUUACUUUCUCAAAAAUCGAAGAGAGGGUAAAGGAACAGUACCACUGCUGGAUAAUUGGAAAGUCCCUGUGUGUCAACCUUUGUGCUUCGUGGCAAGGUAGACUAGCAAACAUGCCCAACCUUUACUCACAUUCGAGAAAACACUCCCAACAAGAUUGCUUGCUCCAAAAUCGAAGAGGCACCACCCUCCGAAUCUCGAGAGCCAGACUCCCAACAUGAUUACUUUCUCAAAAAUCGAAGAGAGAGUAAAGGAACAAUACCACUGCUGGAUAAUUGGAAAGUCCCUGUGUGUCAACCUCUGUGCUUCGUGGCAAGGUAGACUAGCAAACAUGCCCAACCUUUACUCACAUUCGAGAAAACACUCCCAACAAGAUUGCUUGCUCCAAAAUCGAAGAGGCACCGUCCUCCGAAUCUCGAGAGCCAGACUCCCAACAUGAUUACUUUCUCAAAAAUCGAAGAGACACCGCGCUCCGAAUCUUGAGAGCCAGACCCCCAGCAGGAUUGCUUUCUCAAAAAUCGAAGAGGCAUCGUUCUCCGAAUCUCGAAAGCCAGAUCCCCGACAGGAUUGCUUGUUCGAAAACCGAAGAGGCACCACUUUCCCAACUUUAAGAGCUGGAUCUCCUUGGAUAAAGCUUGUCUGUAAUCUUCACACGCAACAUUAGCUUUCCAGAUACCACAGACCACUUUUUCAAAGUGCUCUGACAGAGUUAAAACAUGUGAAGCUGGCAGCUCCCACUACCGUGUUAUGACCAAGCAGGGUAAAGGAAUAACAUGAUUACUUGAUGUUAGGGAGACUCCUAUAUAUGUCGACCUCCAUCCCUAAUGGACAGGCAGACCUGCAAAAAUGCUCAACCCUUUCUCUUAUCUGAGAGGGCACUCCCAACGAAGCCUUUUGAAAUAUUCAGCUUUCUUUCCCUUCGAUAAUACCUCUGUAAACAAACUAUACUAGAGCAAGAAUAUCUCAUAUCAUCAGGGUUAAAAGCAAGAGUAUCUCAUAUCAUGCUUUUUCCCUGUCUUUUCCUUUGGCCUUGUUCUUACCUGCAAGACAAGGAGAAAGAGAGCAAUCAGUCAGCAUUUGGAAUCAAGCUUCAAGCCAGGAACUGACUGCCUGGAACCCCUUACCUGAUUACUUACCUGGCAUUGCUCUCGAGUACUCAUAUUCAACAUCUUAUGCUGCCAGGGAAGAUACCGCAUAUUCCUGAGGAACAGAUAGGUCAAGUGAGAAGGAUACAAGGAAGCAUGUGGAGACAAGCGUAACAGCACAAGUGCCGAUACAUCCACUACUCUGUCAAAAGCAAAAGUAUCCCAUAUCAGCAGGGUCGAACGUACUCUAGAUUUGAUGGACUUGUUUUAACCCUCAAAUUCUUCAGUCGGCCUUAUACUCUGGAGGAAACCAGAAAACCCUCCAGCCCGGUUCAAGAAUAAGCCUGUGGAAAGUUACUUCUUCAAAAGCAAAAGUAUCCCAUAUCAUCUCUUCUCAUUUUUCUUCUCUUUAUCCUUCAUGCUGCCUGCAAGAUAGGGCGAAUGUGAACAAUCAGCCGGAGCUCUGAUUGCUUACCUUGUCUGUCACCUCUUUCAGCAGAUCCCCUAGCCCGGCGACUUGGGGGACUCCUACUACAUGGUUUGUAAGGCGCUUGACCAAGCCUGAAACUACAAGUAAGCUUCAAGUGAAAUUGAUACAUUACCUUGUGCAUCUCCACCAGUUACAGAUACCACCCCUGGAUGGAGGAAGAGUACUUCCAGAGAAGAUGCCACAUCUACCUAUGAGACAGAUAAGGCAAGUCAAGACGAUACCACACUCCGGUACUUAGAACUUAGAAGUUUCGUGGUUACGAGAUCAUUCUCCCACAAUAUUUCCUAAUGUCAUUUGUACUAAAUCAUUCACUUGUACUCACUAAAGGAGAGCUUGAACCUAUGUACUUGUGUAAACCCUUCACAAUUAAUGAGAACUCCUCUAUUCCGUGGACGUAGCCAAUCUGGGUGAACCACGUACAUCUUGUGUUUGCUUUCCUAUCUCUAUCCAUUUAUAUACUUAUCCACACUCCGGAGCAAUCUAGCGAAGAUCACAAAAAGUGACCGUUUUCGCUACCUAGGAUCUAUCUUGCAAGAGAACGGAGAAUUAGAUGGAGAUCUCAACCAUAGAAUACAAGCUGGAUGGAUGAAGUGUAAGAGUGCAUCCGGCGUGUUGUGUGACCGUCGUAGGCCACUGAAGCUCAAGGGAAAAUUUUAUAGGACGGCAAUAAGGCCAGCAAUGUUGUAUGACACAGAAUGUUGGUCGGUGAAGCAUCAACAUGUACACAAAAUGGGUGUAGCGGAGAUGAGGAUGCUUCGUGGGAUGUAUGGGCACACGAUAAAGGAUAAGAUUGGGAAUGAGGAUAUCCGAGGUAAAGUAGGAGUAGCCAAAAUUGAAGGAAAUAUGAGAGAAAAUCGGUUCCGGUGGUUUGGACAUGUGCAAAGAAGGCCUACUGACGCUCUGGUUCGAAAAUGUGACUACGGGACAGAGGUUCAGGGCCGAAGGGGUAGAGGAAGACCUAGGAAAACUUUGGAGGAGACCUUAAGAAAAGACUUGAGUACUUGGAUCUAACGGAGGACAUGACACAAAACCGAGCGCAAUGGCGUUCUAGGAUUCAUAUAGCCGACCCCACUUAGUGGGAAAAGGCUUUGUUGUUGUUGUUGUUGUUGUUGUAUAGUAAUGAUGUGGUGUCAAUGCUAGAUUCUAUUGGCAGUGUUAUCCCAAAUAGGCGAUUUAGUAAUGUUUUCAACGCGCUGAUAUAUGAUUUAUGAUAUAUUAGUAAAUGCCAAUAAUCAGGUUUUAACCUUUUCUGUUGGUUUUAGCCCCAGGAGAUGCGUCCAAGGGCUUGGCCUUUCAGUUUGGGUCUAUAAACCGUGGCUUCAUGAAUUGGAUGCAGGUAUUGUUAUAUGCUAGCAAACUCUUGAUUAAAAUUUUCUAAUUUCCUGUAUUUCUAAGCGCCUAACAAAUUAUAGCAUGUUUUUAAAAGCGGGAAGGUUGUGUUCCUUGUAGAUUCCUGCUCGAACCAGCUCAGCUCCCCCAAAUUUGGAUGAGCAGAAACGUGAUCAGGUUAGCUUGUUUUUCUUCUCUCUCAUCUUCCUGCCUUUGUUUUAAUGAAUAGUCUGAUUGGUUCAACUGCACAUGAUGUUUUUUGCCAGAAGUGUAUGUGUACAGUAUUUUGUGUCUUCCUAUUAUGUCCUUAUGUUUACUUAUAUAAUGAAAUAUUAUUCUUUGUAUUUGAAUUUAAAGGUGACUUAAUUUCAAUGAGUAAUUUGGUAUCUUUUUUCAGUUUCUAUUGCUGAUUAUACUUUUCAAUUUUGUUUAUUAAUUUGUGAAAUCAUUAUGUCAUGCUUGAACAUGCAGGCACGCCAUGAUUCUUUUAGAGCUGCGCCUUCAGUGCCAGUCCCUACUGUUCCUAAACAGCAGUUACCAAGGAAAGACUCAGCGUCCAUUGAUCAACCUAAUGCUGCUGAGGUUCAUAUGGUACCCAGGGUUAAAAAGGAUGUGCAAGUCUCACAUGCACCCCCUCCUAGUCAAACUCAGAAACCUUCUGCUCAUCCAAUGGCUGGGAUGUCCAUGCCAAUGCCAUUUCAUCAGCCACAGGUUCCGGUGCAAUUCGGUGGCCCCAACCAGUAGAUCCAAUCUCAGAGUAUGAGCGCCAGUUCCAUUCAAAUGCCAAUGCCUAUGCAAUUACCAAUUGGUAGUACUCAAGUACAGCAGCCAGUGUUUGUUCCAGGUCUCCAGCCCCAUCCAAUGCAGCCCCAGGGAAUUAUGCAUCAGGGCCAGAACAUGACUUUUACCCCCCAAAUGGGUCCUCAAAUACCUCAGAUAGGCAACUUGGGGAUCAGCAUGGCGUCGCAAUACCCCCAACAACAGGGUAGGAAGUUUGGCGGCCCUCGUAAAACUCCUGUCAAGAUUACACAUCCAGAUACACAUGAAGAGUUGAGGCUUGAUAAAAGGACAGAUUCUGGUGGAAUGGAUGCCUCCUUAAGCAGAAGUGAUAGUAAGGGUGGCAGUGAAGUUUUUUUUUCAAAAUCUAGCAAAUUAGAGCAGCAUUCUGCUUUUGUUCAAACUACCAAACUUUCAGGUAUAACUUCAAGAACUGAAACUGAAGGUACAUGUGAGGAGAAUAUUGGUGGUGGUGGGGGAAAUAUUGAGAAUAUUGGUAGGGGUGGGGAUUCUCUUACAGUGUCAGACUUCAGGGACAAACCUGAACUGAGUAGAACUAAGAGUACUAUUUCAAAGGGGAAGAAGAAAAGAAAAGAAAAGAAAUUCUUUCUAAGGCAGAUGCUGCUGGCGUGACCUCUGAUCUUUAUGGGGCAUACAAGAACCCUGAAGAAAAGAAGGGUAUUGAAAACACUGAAAGUAUUAUGACCAGUAUAAUUUCAAGGCAGGUAGCUGCUGAUGCUCCUCAGCAAGUUGCUGUAGGGAGAGAGAAAGAUGCACCGGUUAAAGCUGCGCCAGAUGAUUGGGAAGACGCUGCUGACAUCUAUACCCCGAAACUGGAAACCUCAGAUACUGGAGAGCAAGUCCGUGGAGUGGAUGAUUCUGACAAAGAUGGACAUGAACAUGGAGUGAAGAAAUAUUCCAGAGAUUUCCUUUUGAAGUUUUCUAACCAAUUUGCUGAGCUUGCAGAAGAUUUUGAUAUUAUGUCUCUUAUAGCAGAGAUCUUGAAUGCUAGUGUGAAUGCUGCUCCUGCUACUGCUUCAGUUAAAAAAAAGGUUUCAACUGAAACUGAGGGUACAUGUGAGGAGAACAUUGGUGGUGGUGGGGAUGCUCUUACAGUGUCAGACUUCAGGGACAAACCUGAACUGAGUAGAACUAAGAGUACUAUUUCAAAGGGGAAGAAGAAAAGAAAAGAAAUUCUUAAGAAAAGAAAAGAAAUUCUUUCUAAGGCAGAUGCUGCUGGCGUGAUCUCUGCUCCUGCUACUGCUUAUGUUGAAAAACAGGUUUCAAAUCUUUUGUCCUCUUCUUCAGUUGCUCCAACUGAGGAGUCUGUACCAGUUGUGACCACCACUGAACCAGAAGAAUUAUUGACAGGCAAAAAGGAGCUGCAAGACUUGACCGUCGCGGGAGAGGAAUGAUGGAUGAUGAUAGAUGGAAUAAGGGAGGUGCUACCAAUUUCCGAACUAGCCAAGGACCAAAUUUUGGUGUUUUGAGGAAUCCGCGUGCACCGACACCAGUUCAGCAGGGAGGGAUGCAAAGAAAUAAUUCUGAUGCCAACAGGUGGCAGAGAGAUACGAAUUUUCAACCUAAGGGCUUGAUGGCUUCUCCUCAUGCUCCAUUACAGGUGAUGCACAAAGCUGACAGGAAGUAUGAAAUGGGUAAAGUGAGUGAUGAAGAGUAGGCCAAGCAAAAGCAGUUAAAGGCUAUACUGAACAAGUUAACUCCUCAAAAUUUUGAAAAACCAUUCGAGCAAGUGAAAGCUGUUAAUGUAGAUAAUGCAACGACUCUAACCGGUAUCAUUUCACAGAUGUUUGACAAGGCUCUUAUGGAGCCUACUUUCUGUGAGAUGAUUGCUAACUUCUGUUGUUCUUAUGCCUUAGUGUUGCCUGAUUUCAGUGAAGAAAAUGAAAAGAUAACUUUUAAAAGAUUGCUUUUGAACAAGUGCCAGGAGGAAUUUGAGAGGGGAGGAAGAGAGCAAGAGGAGACCAAUAAGGCCGAUGAGGAGGGUCGGGUGAAACAGUCUGAAGAAGAAAGAGAGGAGAAAAGAAUCAAAGCGCGAAGACGAAGGUUGGGUAAUAUUAGCUUGAUUGGGGAGCUAUACAAAAAGAGAAUGUUGACCGAGAGAGUAAUGCACGAAUGCAUUAAAAAGUUGUUUGGUCAGCAACAGACUCCAGUUGAGCAAAAUAUUGAAGCUUUGUGCAAACUAAUGAGCACCAUUGGGGAGAUGAUUGAUCAUCCGAAUGCCAAGGAGUACAUGGAUGCAUAUUUUGAAAGGAUGAAAAGCUUGUCGAAUAACAUGAAAUUAUCUUCUAGUGUUAGGUUCAUGUUGAAUGAUGCAAUUGAUUUGAGAAAGAAUAAAUGGCAGCAGAGGAGGAAAGUUGAAGGAUGAAUAAAGAUUGAGGAAGUGCACAGAGAUGCUGCACAAGAACGACAAGCACAGUCUAGUAGGCUGGUCUGUGGUCCUAGAAUCAAUCCAUCAGCUAGAAGGGGGCCUCCUAGUCCAAGAGGAUCGACUAUGUUCUCUUCACCUAAUGUUCGUAGUUUCGAUAGAACUCUUCCAACUUCACCACCCACACUUGCAUAUGGAGCAGGUUUAACACAAAAUGUUCCUUCAGAAAAUGUGUUGACUGAAGACCGUCUUAGGGAUAUGUCUUUGGCAGCAAUUAGAGAAUUUUACAGGUAUAUUUUUAUUUUUGAGAGAGCAGUCAUUUCUCAUUACAUUUGUCAUGCAUGCUUUAGACUGUUCUAAUUAAUUUUUGUUAUCUUUUAGUUCAAUGCAUCUUUCAGAUGUGAUCAUUCUCUGCGUGCUAAAAAAAUCUGCCUAUGAUUUGCUUAAUGUGAUUAUCCGUUCAAUUCUUGAAAGGAAAGUUGGGCAUGUGUGUUCUGUGCCUGGGGAAUGAAUAGGACUUGGGCGCAAUGGUUGGUCAUCUUCCAGAUCCUCUCAAAUCACGGAUUCUAGAGAAAUUUAUUUAGAGAUUAGUGAUGCUCAUUGUAAUCGUGCUAGAAGAAAUUCAUUACUGGUAGCGUUCAAAAACUCAUAAUUAUAUGCCUGCAAUGAAGAACUUUUGUACUGUAACUAUGAUUACAAUAUCCAUAACAUCGUGUAUGUAUUCUAUUAUAUCCCAAAAAAAAUGUAACUAUGCUGCAAUUCAUAUGUAUUUGUAAAUUAUUAGGACCUCAGAACUUUGCAUUUUCUUUUUGUAUUUAUUCCGAGUGAAGUGUAUUUUUUAUUUUAUCUUCCUCCCAUCCCUUCAAUGAAUAUUUUGUUUGUGUUGCGAGAGAAAAGUAACGAGUUAAUUGUAUAGAUCUAUCUAUGGAAUUGAUGAUUUGAUACUCUUACCUUUUUUAACGAUAUGUACAACGAUAAAUUUGCACUAAAUGAAAUGAUGAAGGGUAAAUUUGUACUCUAAAUUAAAUUAAAUUAUAAGAUGAUUGAAACUCAAGUGACAUACGUAUUACAUGUGUAAUUUUGAUGAUUAAACUUGGGUCAACAAUUGCUUGCAAGAGCCUAAAACAAAAACAAAUCCAACUGCCGGAUGCUUUUUUCUAGUUUAUUUUUUUGGUUCCAGUUAAUGGACAUUAAUUAAUCAGAGUAAGUACGCAAUGAUUCUGCUAUGGUACAAUUUUCGUUAAGUAGAGGGGUUUGUUUGACAAAAAUAAUCUUUAAAAGGUGGUAACGUGAUCGUUUACGUGACAAUUUAACAAAUAUAUUGACAAAUUUAUCAUGGAAUGAUUAAAAUGAUUUACGGUAGACAAUGAUGUAGGACAAGAUUGUGGUGAAUUUUCAUGAAGAAAAAGUAAAGAAAAUGAGAGCUCUAUAAAACUGACAAGGAAUGAUGCAUUAGAGAAAAUCUCCACUCAAAUACCAAAUAUGGCGUUAAAAUAGGAAGAAUAUUGUGUUGGGAUUUUUUGGUUGCUUGAGAAAUGGACUGAAGGAAGACAAAAGGACGUGGCGGGAAUUUAUAUAUUUAGCGCUCAAGCUUCGUUUUGAGCCCAAGAUACAUUUUUGAAAAGAGCGUGACAUCCCAGUUCAAACUCACUAUUUUGUUGCAAUGUUAUGAUGAAUUUUAGUGUUCUAAAAAUCGUAGGCGCUGGGCGGUGGCUGACCGAGGGGAUUAAUGCAAAAUCGGGAGCAAAAUCGGGAUAGGGAUUAGGCGGCCCUUGGGCGGCCUAGGUAGGCGACUGAGUGGCCUAGGCGGUCUAGGAAUUUCAGUUUUGUUAUGUUUUCAAGAAUGCAGAUCAGCUGCAUUUUUUUUUUUUUUUUUGCCUUUCUGGGUUUCUUCUGGUUCUCGGUUUGGCAAAGAGGAAAAGAGGAAGACGAUGACAUUCUCUCUCUUCCUUUCACACCAUGUGACCAAGCUACAUACUUUUCUUAUUUAAUUUUUUUUUCUUAGUUUCUCUCCAAUCAAAUUUGGACAGCUAGCAUCAAAUUGCUUGCUUUUUGUAAAAAGCCAUAGGCUGUCAGUUCUAGCACAUUGAUUUUUCUCCAGAGGUGGAUUGUCUGCCCUCCCAUUUCCAUACUCUUCCCAUCCCUUCCUGUUUGUGUGGUCACGGUUAAGCGAUGUCAAUAUUUUAUAUUCUUAUUACUUUUUGUUUUAUUAUUUUUAUAAAAAAAUCAAUAUAAAAUGUUGAAGUGGCUUAACCGUGACUACACAAACAGGAGAGGAUUGGAAGAGUAUGGAAAUGGGAAGGCAGACAAUCCACCUCUUUUUUCUCCUAAAAAAUGAUAGGGUGUCAGGUUGAAGAUGUCAUUGUCAUUAAGUUUUGGUGCAGAGUUCCCAUCUUUAUGCGUCCUAGUGUGUCCUUUCCACAUCCACAUAUUGAACACCUUUAUUUCUCUUUAACUUCAACAUAAAUUAAUAUGAUCUCUAAAAAAUAUUAUUAUGAACCACCCAUAUUGACAUCAUAAUUUUCUCUUUAUUAUGAACCAUCCAACCCAAUACAUGGGAUUAUUACUUUUAUUUUAAAAAAAUUAGAUAUGAAUUAUAAUCAUUCAAAAUGUCUUAAGUUAUAUGGCAUAUAUGCUUAAUGUGUUUUUAAACUUUGAAUUUGUUAGAUACUUUUUUUUUUUGUAUUUUAUCAUUCUUUUAUUAUCUUAUCCAUGAAUUUCAUACAAGUAUAAUUUUUUGUAAGUGUUAAUAUACACUUAUUUACAAGAUAUACAAAAAAUUUACUUAAAUCCGUCUAGGCCGCCUAGCCCCCGCCUAACCGCCUAGAAGCUAGGCGCCAACCCGCCGCCCGACUAGUGCCUAGCAUUUUUUAGAAUCUUGAAUUUUAGUCAUCCAAGGUUGUUUAGAAGUCCAAAACAGCAAAAUAAACUUGUAAUCAAUUUUGAACUUUUUAAUUUCUGUUGGAAUUCAUGUCAUUUUAAUUCCCUAAGACCCUUGAGCUUCCCUAGGGUUGUGUUUAUGUCUUUAAGCUAUUGGGCUUCCAAUGUAAUUCAUCAAUUUCAAAAUUAAUCAAACACCCUUUUCAGUUUUCUCUCAAAAUCUAAUGGACUCAAGAAUCCUUUGUUUUUCAAGAUUUACGUUUGUAAUCAUUCACGCUCGUGAUGCGUCAAUUAGUAUCAAAGCAGGGAUUUAUCAUGUUCUUUGGCAAUCGAUUAUGGGAGAAGCAAAACCCUAAGCGGCGUUGUUCGUAAGGGAAUGGCAAUAGAUGCGGUGUGCGCAAAAAGAAUAGCCCCGAGCCACCCUCAUCUAGUUGAUGUUGAAGAUAUUCCUAUUUUCUUGGGAAGUGAUUGCAUUAAAGGUUUUCUCUUGUGGGUUGAGGAUGUAGAGAAACUUUUCAAGAUACAACCAAUUCCAGAAAGGAAGAUAGUGAAGAUCAAUCGUUGCUUCUUGUUUAGAUGGUGAUGUGCAUUUAUGGUGGGAUCAAAUGCAAGAGUCUAGGCGAAAACAAGGUAAAAUCCUAUCACUUGGCAUUGGUUGAAGUGACUAAUUGUUAAACAAUUUCUUUUUUUUUUUAUUUAUUUAUACAAAUUGUAUUUGGCAAGUAUGGGUCAAGCAAUCAUUAGAAAAGAAGCUAAAGUGAUGGAGAAUGAUAUUUCAUUAUGCCAAGAAACGGUGGAGGUCAAGGUGGAAAUAAUGAAUGAGUAAUUUUGCUGAUUGAGAAUCUUGUUGAAGAAGAUCUCCUAAAACAUGACAACUCACAAGUGCAGACUCAAGAAAUUCAAGGUAUGGGUGAUUAUGAAUUGCUAUGAUUUUUGGAGAAUCAUCAAUCUACUAAAUAGGGGUUAAAUUCCAUUGUUGACCAAACAACAAAAUUGGGGAAGGAAAAUAUUUUGAUUAUCGAUGGCAUAGUUCAAUCUUGUUUAUGGAAUUAAUUUAAUGAUUAUUUCACCUACUUUCACUGAAAGUUGGGCUUCUUGAGUUGAACUUUCAGUGCUUCUCAAGUCGAAGAAUUUAUUUGCUUAACAAGGUUGCCAACUAGCUAUCAAGAUCGUUUUAAGAAGAACUCGAGGUUGAGUUCUUUAUCAGUGGAUGAGUCUGAUAUAAACAAGAUAUGAGUCAAUUCUGACGAAGAAAGAUAAAGAAAAUAAAAUGUUUCAAAUUCUGAAAAAGAAUAAUUAAAGUUGGGAAAUAUUGGAUUUAAUUGAUAUGGUGACAUAAAAGGCAAUAAGAAGUAUUUUGGUAUUGGAAUUAGGCGUAUGAUAUAUCGUUUUGAAUAGAAUCGCGAGCAGAACAAGAGUCAUGGUCAUCCCAUGAGCCCAUCGUGUUUAAGGUCAUCCAAGGUCAUUUUAGACUCCCAAACCAGCAUUUUAAAGUUUGUAAUAAAAAUUGGACUUUUGGUUUUUCGUUCAAUUUAUGUCAUUUUAAUUUUCCUAAGACUUCUGAGCUUUCCCAAGGCGAAGUUAAGUUUAUUUAAGCCUUUCGGCUUCUAUGUAAUCAUCAUUGAAGAAUUAAACAAUAAACCUUUGAAAUUUUCUCUCUAAACUUGUGGAUUCCAGCUUUCUGAUUUUUGGGUUUACCUUUUAAUCCCAUUUACUACGUUCGUGCAGUGUCAAUUGGUAUCAGAGUAGAAACUUGCCCUGUUCUAAUGGCAAUCAAUGGUGAUACAAACCUUUGUUCAACAUUGAUUGUGGGGAGGAGGCUAUUUAUGUAAUACCAAAGAUCUUCUAUGGUGAUUGCAGAUAGUAUUUUGUUGAUGGGGAAUGCGAUGGAGAAUUUUCCUUAAGCCAAACUCGUCAACUUGAUGUUGGGAAUGAAUUGAAAUGCAAUGAAAGAUGAUGUGAGGACUUGCAAUGAUGGAGUUGUACAACUAUUUUGCUAAAUAUGGAUGAGCAACAUGGAAUGUGAGUUCACAUGCUUUUAUACUCAAGACCAAUUUUUGAAAAGUUGAUUGGCCAACCUAUAUUUGGGACCAUGAUUUUCUGAGCCCAUGACACAUUUAAGAUAGACCGGAAUGCCUCAGCCCUGUUGACCCUAAAAACUAUCAAGCCUAUGUGGCACGUAGGCCGAGUAAUUAAUGAGCUAACUACGUCAUUCGGUUGUAUGCGGGCGUGCCAAUUCGUCGGCCGAUGCGUUGGGUGCGCUGCUGACUUCUCGAUCUUGCGAUUACGGUCGAGGAAGGAACAUGUCUCGGCCUUCGGGUUCUAGAGCCUGAAGACAAGGCUGCUAGUUCUGUGAAGUUCAAUAUCAAAAUCGGCUCUUAGGAUGCCGAAUGUAGUAACCUGGUAACACCUCACUUCAUCGAGAAGGCUAAUGAGGUGACCUCUGCCAAUAAGGAUUUGAAAAUCCUUCUCAACCAAGACUUGGAUAGAUAACCAGUCAGCCUCGUCGCAGUGUUGUUUAUCCAAACUGAAGGUGUUUCGCAGUCGGCUGAUUCUACGGCAACAGUGCUGUUUAUCCAAACUGAAGAUGUGUUAGCGAAAAAGAAAAUAAAAAAAAUCUCAAAGUUGUUGAGAGGUUUGAGCAAAGCAAUUUGUGUGUUGAGUUGGAGAGGGCUUGAAUGAUGCACUCAUUCCUCUAUUUAUAGAACUAACUUAGCGCAAAAUCCAGUCGUGACCAUCAAUCACCACAAAUAAUAAUAGUUUUGUAGAGAUGAUUAUCCAAUGAGAGCCGUGGCACUCAACGUAUUUGGUGCUAACCACGCAUUGGCUUACUGCACGGAAUUAAUCUUUCAAGUUAGACCUCCACCUUGGUUACCAACUGGUGCCACCACAUGCUAGGACUAUUCUCAUAAUGCAUGAUGCUCAAUCCCCAGGUUGAAUGCUAAGAACCCCAAAUUAAAUUGAACUAUUAUGCUUGCUUUGAUAUAGUUUGCUUCACAUUUAUCUCGUAUAAGAAAAGUGUCAAGAUAAUUCAUUAUUAAAAGAUAAUUAUCAUGAUUAAAAAUCAUAAUAUUAUCCCCUAACAACAACAAAAUUAUCUUAACCUUCCUAUCCGAUGAUGUGGAGCUAUGCUCACUCAACGGUCUUGAUUGCACUGCCGAUUGUGUAAUUUUGGGUCCAAACAAGCCCAUAAAGCACAAUCCAACAUGCUAGGCUUAAGGCCUAUUAGAGAUAUUACUUUUCUCCCAAGUAGGAAACCCUAAUUUAAGUCAAAUUAGGAUAGUUGGGGAUUAUGCAAUGUAAUCAUGAUUCUAGAUGGAUUUGGUAACUUAUCCAAGAUUUCCUCCUAGAUAGACUCCCGAUUUGAUGAAGAUUACUUUACCUACAAGGACUCUCAAGAUCCCUAUAAAUACUCAAGCCUGGGUAUUCAUCAGGGAGACAUGAAUCUCUCUCUUUCGGACCAUUGAUGGAUUCAUCUUCUCUAGCAUUCAUAUUCUCUCUACGCUUAACAGAGGCUUCCACCCCACUACCAUAGGCUACUCGUCAUGGAUGGUUCACACCAUUCUUUCUUAGGACUACACCCGCGGUUUGAUUCUCCUUCCCGGAGAUAUCUAGGCAGUAAUAAUUGGGUUCAACCACACCUCAUCCCCCAAUCAACACUAUUCUCCCCUCGUUGGAGAUCAUGGGCAAGUCCGACUUGAUUUUGCCUCCGUUGUUGAAUGUGCACAAAUUUGGUUCCAACAAUUGAUGCUCUCGUUGAUAGAGAACUCAUAUUUCCCCAACCAACGUCCUUUGCCAUGAGUAAUGACGAAAGCCGAAAGAUCCUGGAAAAAAAGAACUUUGACUGAUGUUCCAGAGACAACCAUGAAAUCCCAAAAGUCAAUAGGAAGAUUAAUCUUUCAGGAAGGAAAUUGCCAAAAAGUUACAAUGUCCUCCAAACAUAAUAAGGGAAGGACAUCCUACAUGACAUGCACAUUUUGAUUAAUUUUAGAGAGGUGUAUUCAAUUGGGAAUUUGAGAGAUUUAAAUGGAUUUAUAAAUCCAUGAAUUUUUAUGGAGUUUAAUUGAUUUGUAGAGAUUCCAUGUAAAAUUUGGAUUCAAUUCCCUUGAAAUCUCGUGGGAGAGAGGUGAGAUUUGUAGAUGCUUAAAAUACAUUACGAAAUCUCUCCAAUUCCUUCUAAUUCCUCAACUUUUUCAAAAUCUUUUUGUUUUUUGUUUUAUGUUUUUUUUUUUUUUUGAAACAAAUGAGAGAAGAUAGGGUGAGCUUAGCCUUAAAAUAGGUUAAUGCAGUUCAAAUUCGCAUUGGCGAUAAUCGAACCUAAGUCUUCUCACUUACAAGCGAAGAGAAAUACCACUAGACUGUAAUACUCAAUGGAAAAAUUAAAUUCUAAAAUACACGUAGAAUGUUAUAAACUUCUUUAAAGUCCUAAUUGAAUACACCCAAAUUUCUAAGGAUUUUAAUAUAUUAUCUUAAAAUCAUAAUUGAAGACACGUUGAAUUUCAUAGAAUCACUUAAAUUCAUGAUUGAAACACCUAGAUUCAUUAAAUGAAUUAAAAUCCCUCAAAAUUCCAAUCGAAUACACUCAUUUAAAUGCCUUGUGCUAUUUUUUAUUUUAUAAGAAUUGAACAUAAUCUUAGGUAGAACCAUGAUGAUCGACUAAAUUCACUCUUUCGUAUUUCCCUUUUUUUUUCCUUUUUUUUUACUGCAAGGAGAAUCAUCAAUAGUUUUGUGAGUCAUUGUACAACCAAGCCUGGUAAUUGAGAGAACUAUAUCGACUCCAAUUCAGAAUGAAGUCCAUGCCAGUCACGGAGACGAACAGAAAAAGGAGACAUCGAAUCAAUCCCUACCAAAUCAAAUUGCUCCGUCUGUAGGAACAUCGCCAACCCUAUAAUCCUCGACGCCCAUUCGUAGGCAACUCGCCAUUCAACCUGCAAGCUCAACCCAACUUGGAACAGUAACGUUUGACGGAUUUAGGUGCACUCCCCACUCUGCCGAACCCUCGAUCAACAUCAUCGACUCUGUUACGACACACUGGAUCUGCACUAUCCGUUUCGUAAUCCACCUCAUCUUCUCAGACCAAUGCGGAUUGUUCAAUCUGCAGUGCUUGGUUGACCCGUGUGCUCUGCUUUAGUGACGUCAUUCGCAGAACUCAUGGCUUACAUCAUAAACUAGAACAUGCCACUCUCACCAGACCCGCAACGGAAAUCUAGAAAAUGACGCUUGCUCGACCAAUCUGACUAUUGUGAGGCAAGUUCGAUUUGCAACAACCUUGGCUUUGCACAGUAAUUUUGAAAAUUGUUAUUUGAAUAAAAUGGUAAGGAAAGACAACUCAAAAGAACGACAUCUUUCUCCUUGUUCAGAUCCCAAUUCAAUAUGUGUGGAUCACCACCUCUUUCUCUUAAAAUGCUAAUUGGAUGAGGAAGAAGUCCCAACACAAGAAGAAGAAUAAAAUCUUUGGCAAACGGAUAGGAUUGGCUUUCCCAAUCUUAAGCGACCAAGUCACAUGUCUUUCUCGUUGAUUGUGGGAUCCAUUGAGUGUCGCAUGGGCUUGACAUACAACAAAAGCCAUAUUGUGAAGGCACCUGCUCUGUGGUGCACAAUAACAAGUAAUAAGCUUGGGAAAGUGAGUAGCUUCGACUCCGACAACGACAUAACCAUUUCGACAAGCAUAGCAGAGUCUCAAUGUGAAAUCCCGUCCCCAGAUUUCACUAUUUAAAUUACGUAUUUUUGUAUUAUUAAUUUCAAGAUUUAUUUUUAAAGAAUUUUAUAUAUAGUUGGCAACCAUGCAUAAAUCUUUUAUUUAGAAAAAAAAAAUUGAAGCUACCUGAUGGCAGCGAAGGAGAAGGGGGGAGGAGAGUUUCAAGAGGGAAGAAAGGAGAGAGGUGGUCGAAUGGGGAGAGGAGAGAGGAAGGAUGGUAACCAAUAGAGAGUGAAAGCAAGGAGGAAAGGGAGAAAAGGGAGGAACACAGGAUCCCGAAGGAUCCGGUUCUAACCCGUCGGCCAACCCGAUUUGGUUAGCCAAUUUCGACGAUUUUCACCCCUUUUUCGGCGAAUUAGACCAAUCCACCGCUCCAGAUCAUUAUCUUGACCCUUCCUCUACCAUUCCCACACAAAAUUCGGGGAGAUUAGGUUUGAAAUUGUGGAUAUUUGCACCGGUGGGUGCAACGGGCUUCGGGGCGGCAAUCUAUCAAAUUCAAAGGUAACUCCGUCAGCCAACACCACCAAAAUACUCCCCUCAACCUCAAGAACAAAGCCCAAGUAGUGGUGGAGGUGUCAGAGUAAGUAUGGAGGUCGAAUCGGAGCACACCCAAUCCUAGGGUUCCAGCGAUUCGUGGGUGAUUUCAAGUGUUUCCCGGCUGAAUUGGACUCUAGCCCAGGUAUGAAAUUACUCCCCUAACUGAGAUCUAGUUGUUUAUAAAAUUUGGUAAUUUUUGGAAUUAGUUGAAUUUUCCAGCAAGUCGGGGCGGCCGACCGCCAACCGCGGCGGCGCGUGGAUAGUGGGCCGAUGAUAUCUUCUAAGUUCAAUUAGAUGCCCUGAUUUCAUAAUUGAUAUCUGUAGGACACGGUUUGAUAGUUUGAACUUAGUUUCAUUACGAUACAUCACUAGAACAAAAUUUGAAUCAAUGAUCCGACCGUUGAAUCAUCACCACAAUUUGAUACAUUAUAGUAAGUAAUAUUUGAGGACAAUAGGAACUUACGGAUUGGGAAUCCGACGUAUGGAUCUUCCCGAAUUAGACCUGUAAGUUUGUAAAAUAAAAUGUCGACCGCCACUUAAAUUUGUGAUUGGCGGAGAUAUGACCAUCGUAUCGUAGUGAGACUUUAGUAUAUUAUUCUAGAAGUAUAAUUUUGACUUUGGGAAGUUAUGGAUCGAAAAUCUGAUGUACGUAUCUUCCGGAUCGAAUUACGUAGGGUUGUGGACCUUAUCGUUGACCAAGAAUUGACUUUUGGUCAAUAUGUCUCGAAGCGUUUUCAAUACUAAAUUUAAUACCAUGGGAUACUAAGUGAAGUCUAAUGUGACCACAUUGGUUAGAGAGUGACUUGAAAAUAUGGGAUAUAGUUAUUACCUUGAUUUCUUAUAUUAAGAUCAUUUGUGAAUAUGAUUUGGGUUAUAAAUGAAAUUUCUAAUGAAAUGUGAGUAUUAUAUAUAUAUAGAUAUAUAUAUGCGCCAUAGACCCAUGUUUAUUGAAUGUGAAUUCUAUUGAAGUGUUAUUUUUAUUUCUGGCCAUCGAUUUAUUUUCAUUAAGUAUGAUUUGACUUGUGCUUCGGAAAUAUGGUUUGUAUUGUAUGAUUGGAUUGAUGUGAUGAAAUGUGAGGGCUAAUAGUGGACCGUUAAACUAUUGUCAUGAGGUUUGUUACUUAAACACUUGUUUCACAUCUUGUUUCCUUAUUUCACUUUUUGUGUCAUUAAGCCCUUCUAAAUUAAGUACUUGGUUCUUGUAUUGUUUCUUCAAGCUGUUGUUGUAUCCCUUGAUUUUCCACUCGAUUCACUGAUGGUCCGGAAUCCCUUCGAUUUUACGAUUCCGUUGAGUAAUGGUCCGGAAUUGUACCCUGGCUCGGAUUCCGUUGAGUGAUGGUUUGGAAUCCCUUCUAUUCUGCGAUUCCGUUGAGUGAUGGUCCAGAAUCGAUCCAGCUUGUAUUCCAUUGGGUGGUUCUAUAUGCAUGGUACUCCCCGAUUCCAUUGAGUGAUGGUCCGGAAUCCCUUCUACUCCGCGAUUCCGUUGAGUGAUGGUCUGAAAUCGUAUCCUGAGUUUGAUUUCGUUGAGUGGUUCGGAAUCCCUCUGGUGACUUGAUUCCUAGGAUAUGAUUUCAGCUUCAAAGAUGUAGGCUUCAGCCGAACUGUGUCGCCCUAGCCCUGCAUGUCAGUGUGUUGUAUGGGUUAUUAUGUGGUGUAAUUAUUGGAUGUUGUUGGAUGUAAUUGUUAUGAUUAUGAUAUACCGUUGACCAAUAUGGCUAUAGAUUAUUAUUGCGCCUCGUCGAUUGUUCCUUGAUAUGUUGCACGCUCUGAAUUGUGCAUUAUGUUGAAAUAUGAUAGUUUAUGUGAUGAAUAUUCGAGUGUAGUGAAAAGUUGAACUACGAAUGGCUUGAUCCCUAUUGAGGGUACGUAGGCAGUCUAACGAAGAGGUUAGAUGCAGCCAUAAAGUAUACGCAAAAUUAUUAUGCAUCUGAAUCUUAAAUUAUAUUUUGUGCAUAUCCAAAAGGUGGGGUAUGUUGAGUUACGAGCAUUUAGGGACAUCACGUGUCGAUUUUGGACAUAUGUCGGGAUCAGGGUGUGACACUAAAAAUGGAAAGAAAUUCAUUGGUGGCAAGCCACUCCUAAAAGAAAGUAUAAGUUCAACUUUGAAACUAAGUUUCAAGUUCCAUCAAAGUUCCAAACUCAAAUAUGAACCGUGAUAGUUAUACAACAUAGCGCAGUGAUCUUGCUACAACACAAAGAAUUACAAAAAAAGAAGUCUCAUUUCUCUACCAUUAUUAUUACUCAAUUUUCAAUUACCCUCGCUUAACUUUUUUUGUUUGAGCUAGGACUAAUUAGAUUAUUGGUGUAUUUUUGUUCACCAUUCACCUUGUGAUUCCAAGAUGUGAUAUUCCUAGAAUUUAGAGAAAAGCAUGUCCAUACAAAUUCGCACAAAACGAACUUGGUUCACUAAAGCUUGCAAGUAGGAAGCAAAGACAGGUUUGACCCUAUGCAAACCAACACCUCAUCACAAGUCUGACUUGUAAACCUCUCGACUAAAGUCAACAUGUAACUCAGUUUGAGUCCAUCAACACUCCAACUGGGGCAAGUGCUCGCAAAGCUCUAGGGUAAUGUAAUCGUGCCUGAAACCAAUUUUGCGCACUUGAAUGAUUUUUAAUGGAAAGUUGAUUUCCUAGAUGAAUUUCAAUAUAAUGCCAAUUGGAGACUUGGAGACUAAAGCUAAGACAUUGAAGAUUGUUGUAAUAAAAUUUCAUAAUUUUCUACAAAGCCAAUCUUCCAGGUUUUGGAACAAAGAUGGUCGAAGCUACAUUCCGGUAAGAACUGCACAGCUAUGGGAAAACGAAGAUUUCAAAGCCUUCCCGAUUUUUUCUAGUAACAUGCCAUAUAUUCCUUAAAAGAUCUUAAAUAGAGCUAUAAUUUUCCACUAAGACAUAACGGUAUCAAAUAUGGCAUGCAAAACAGCUGAAUAGUAGGCUAACCCAACCAGCACAUCGUAGCAGCAUGGCUAGCUUGCCAGGUUAAACUAUACAUGCUAAAAAAAACUGAGUUUUAUGCAAUAUAUCGUCCCGAAGAUAUGGAUGUAAGCUUUCUAUAGAAUAUUGUAGAAAUCAAUUUUGAGCUACGUGGAAGUCAUUAUCACAUUUUUACCACCCAUAACACAAGUUGGAAUUCUUUGCGAGAUUUUCUAAGUUAUUCCUCCAAACUCAUAUCAAACGAGGUACAACAUGCCGCAAUAACGUAUGAGUUCUGGAUGCACACAGUCAUCAACGGCUAACCUAAGGGUUCCAACUAAUACAAGUCAGCUCCAAUGAGCUAAAAACAAAAAUCAUCCACAAAGCACUGCUUGAUAACUCUACACUUGUCCUCCUAUACUACUAGCUCGUAAUGGAAAAUGACAAUGGGCAUACUAGAGUAAGAAGAAAAAAAUCUCAUGAACUUGAACAACCCAUACAACACAUGGUAGUUAUGGACUUGAAAUCCUACACAUGAAGAAGUUCGAAUAGUAUAUUACUCCGCCUUACUCUAAAACUAUUUAGAGUCAAGCGGAUCAGAGUAAGAAUGCCUUUCUAGUUUGGUCAGGGACUAAACAACUUUCAUCUCAAAGCUGCACAAAUAGAGCAAUGAUGCCACUAUCAUUCUGUUUCAGAGCCACUGAUGUUGAAACUAAAUUCACGCACUGUUAUAUGUGGAAGAAGUGCUCAAACUCGACUACUUGUAAAACAAUAAACAACUGUGGGCAAGCCUAGGACCCAGGGGGUAUGUGUCGACCAAAAGCUCUCCAACGGUCAAGUUAGUAAACAAUUUUAGACUCAGGCAGUGGGCAAGAGAAUUCAAGUGUUUUGGUUGCGUUACUAGAGAUAAACCCUAGACCGGUGUAAAUCCUUGUUCUAAGUUGAGAGAAUUCUAAAGGAUAUCUAGAAGUAGAUAUUGCACCCUUUUAGGAUGUAUGAUUACUUGUGAUGCACGCCAAUUUCUAAAUUGUAAGAACUCUAAGACUUAAUGGAUCUGAUUGUGUCCAUAUCCGGAUCAAAUCGAGUGUGUUGCGGAAUAAGCAUGGCCAUCCAGCAGAGUUGCUAGGAUUUCACCUAUUGCCCCGGAAUAAAGUGAUGGUGGCACUACUACUACGUCUGAUCCAGCUUCGCCCAGAGCCGGUGAGUCCAUGACCGGACUUCCAAGGCAACUACAUUCAGAUCAGCCUUACUCUGGCCCUGGAAAAUCAUGGACCAACAAUUGCCCCCAACUAUGCAUCUAAGAGGCAACUUGUUCCCUUUGAGGAUGGAUUGUUACCCAAGGUCAUGCCUUUCGGAGUAAGCUUGAAUACAAACUGUUUAGUUUUCUACUUUUGUGUUGAUCUGACCUUUGGCGUUAAAAUGGGGCUAUUGAUUCACUUUGGUUUCUAUCACACAACCCCUAGAAUCGUGCAAAAUCAACUGUAAUGAUGACAAAUGCCUCCAUUUCGUGUACACGUUUCACAAAAACCAAUCACAUGUUUCUUUAAGUGGUUUCGAUCUUAUACGCAUCAAGUCCCAAUACUAAAGACUUUCACAUUCAACGGCGAGAUCCUUUAGUGACUUACUUUAAAUAGCUGCUUCCCAUUUGAGAUUUCUAGUCAUUUUCACUUUCACACCAUGGAACCUCUGCAUUCUAACCAAAGUUUUCUUUCCACACUCAGUUUCCUCUCUGAUCUUUUGAUGUUUGAAAUCCUUCAACCAAAAACCUUCUUUUUUUUUUUCUCAACAAUCUCUGCCAAACGAAGCUAAGUAAUACCCAAUUUAGCCAUAAUUUCAUGCUAAUAGCCUUUGCUUUUUGAGAUUUGUUCCAUAACAUUCACCCCUCGUAGUACCCUUCAUGCAGUCCUUGCAUAUGGGUGGAAUCCUAAUAACUUGUUGAGAUUCAUUAGGGGGUUCUUCGUCACUGCUUUCUUCCUCAUCCUUCAUUUGUGGAUGAUGACGUGGGGUAUCUCUAUCAGAAUACUCGUCCUUAAUAUAGUAUCUUGCUCGGAAUACAACAAGAUGGGCAUAGUACACAAUUGGUCUUACAGUAAAAACUCCAUUAGAGUCAAGGAUUCUAGCCAAGUAGCCUUCAAAAAUUUCUUUUGCCAGGGGUGAAGGCUUGUCACCCCAAAAUUGUAGUAUCUAUUUGAGCCCUUUUACUCGGACUUUGAUAAUAAACAUGUGUUUGUGCUUAGACCCGACAGUUUCUGACACAACACGAAAACGACACGAAAAUAACAAGUUUCGGGUCAACACAAUAACUAAUCAGGUCAUUAUCGAGUGACCCAUUAAGAACCCGUUAAUAGCAUGUUCUUAACGAGUAUACACGCGGGUAACACGUGAGUAACCCGUUUCGACCCGUUAAGAAAAAAAAUAUUUUGAUAAUUUUAAAUUUUAAUUACUAAAAGAUUUAUUAUAAAAUACAAUAGCCAUAUUAAUAUAUACAAUAUAUUCUAUAUUAAAUAUAUAGUUUUGUAUUAUUAUUGUUCUAUAUAAGUUAAAAAAAAGUUUUAGUCAUUAUUUAUUUUUAUUAUGAGAGUUCCUUAUUAUCAUUAUUAGGAUAAAUUUUACUUAACAUGUUGUUGUCUAAAAUUAAAAUAAACUAGUAUAGUAUUUGUGUAGGCAAGAACUAAGAAGACAUACAUACAAGUAUGAAAAAUGUGAAAGAAUCAGUGAAGAAAAUAUCGAUAAUAUCGACGAAAUAUCGCCGAUAUUAUCGUUUUUUUGGGACCCCGAUAUUUUAUUAACUAUCCAACUUGUUUUCGGAAAAAUAUAUCGAUAAUAUCGCGAUAUUUUCGAAACUAUCGCGAUAUUUUGUAUUGGCUAAAUCGGAGAACAAAGCCGGAGCAAAUAGGGUUUCAGUACAAAGCCGAAUCCCUAAAUCCCCAAAUUCUAAUUCAAAGCAAAUGAACUGAAUCCCUAAUUCCUAAAUCCCUAAAAUCGAUUUCAGUACAAAAAUCAACAUGCAGAAAAAUCGCAAUCUGUACAAAAUUGUAAUUUACAAGCCGAGAAGAAUGCCGGAGCAAAUUAACCGAAUCCCUAAAUCCCCAAAUUCGAUUUCAAAGCAAAUGAACUGAAUCCCUAAUUCCUAAAUCCCUAAAAUCGAUUUCAGUACAAAAAUCAAGCAACAUGCAGAAAAAUCGCAAUCUGUACAAAAAUUGUAAUUUACAAGCCGAGAAGAACGCCGGAGCAAAUUAACCGAAUCCCUAAAUCCCCAAAUUCGAAAUCAAAGCAAAUGAACUGAAUCCCUAAUUCCUAAAUCCCUAAAAUCGAUUUCAGUACAAAAAUCAAGCAACAUGCAGAAAAAUUGAAAUCUGUACAAAAAUUAAAAUUAAAAGCCGAGAAGAAGAGAAGUAGGAGCCUGGGAACGUCGUCUUCCUCACGAAUCCAAGACGGUUGGGACAACGUCGUGCUCCUCAGUGGUGUCGACGGCUGGGACUACGAUGAAUUCCGGUCCAUCUCCAUGGAACAAGGUGGUUUAGAAGGCGGUUAUCGAGUGGUGUCGACGGCUGGGUUUAGGGCGGGUGAGAUGGGAGGAGCAAAGGGAGACACGGACGAGGAGGAUCGAGAUUCGAGAGAUGAGUCUGUGUGUGUGUGUGGAAGAACUGGAGAAGGGGGAAGGGAGGGAGAAGACUGAGAACGAAGACUCAGAGAGAGAAGAGAGAGAAGAGAGAGAUUGAGACGAUUCGAGAAAGGAAUGAAUGAUCGAGACUCUCUGAGCUCCGUGUGUGGUGUGCGUGUGUGGUGUGGUGUGGGGGGUCUCGAAGUGUGUGUGUGGUGGAGUGUGAGUUCUUCACUGUUUUUGACUGUCUGUGUGGUGGCGUGUAAGAAAAAAAAAGGAUCCAAUGAUCCAAAUAAUUCAAAACCAAAUAAUUCAAAACCUAUCUCUAGCUCUCUGAUACAAUGAUCCAAAUAACUUUUUUGCAAUUUCAGAGCAUGGACAACAAAUAAUACUGCUUUCAUAAUGAAAUCGUGUGACAGUCAGUAAGAUUCUUUCACAUGUAAAACAGUGUCAGUGUGUCAAUGUCUGUUAUAUACUUACAUUCUUUCACCUUAUCAGAGGUGGAGUAUCAGAGGCAUUCACAGAAUUUUCGUUUCUUCUUCUUCCCAUACCAUUUUCAAAACCAUUCCAGAUCCAUUCCAAAGCUUGAACACAAAGGGUUCCAUAUUUAAGGUAAGUUUACAAACUUAAAUUUAUAUUAUUGUAAUUUAUACAACAACAAAUAAAUUUGUGUGGACUCGUAUGUUAAUUUUUUUAAGUAAUUAAUACUUGCAUGUUAAUUUUUGUAAGUAAUUAAGUAAUGUUAACAAUUACAUGUUAAUUUUUUUAAGUAAUUAAGUAAUGUUGUAUAAUUAUUCCCUAGGAUAAUUUUAAUAUGUUUAAUGUUAUUUAUUAUUUUAUUUCCCUUACCAUUUUCAAAGUCAUUCCAGAUCCAUUCCAAAGCUUGAACACAAAGGGUUCCAUAUUUAAGGUAAGUUUACAAACUUAAAUUUAUAUUAUUGUAAUUUAUACAACAACAAAUAAAUUUGUGUGGACUCGUAUGUUAAUCUUUUUAAGUAAUUAAUACUUGCAUGUUAAUUUUUGUAAGUAAUUAAGUAAUGUUAACCAUUACAUGUUAAUUUUUUUAAGUAAUUAAGUAAUGUUGUAUAAUUAUUCCCUAGGAUCAUUUUAAUAUGUUUAAUAUUAUUUAUUAUUUUAUUUCCCUUACCAUUUUCAUUAUCAAAUUGGAUUAUUAUUCAUUAAUAUUAGGUUUUUUUAUUAUCAAAUUGGAUUAUUAUUCUUUUAUAUUAGGAUUAUUUUUUUAUCAAAUUGGUGGAUUAUUCAUUAAAUUGGAUUAUUAUCAAAUUGGAUUAUUAUUCAUUAAAUUGGAUUAUUAUCAAAUUGGAUUAUUAUUCAUCACUAUGUUUUAUAUUAGGAUUAUUUUUUUAUCAAAUUGGAUUAUUAUUCAUUAAAUUGGAUUAUUAUCAAAUUGGUGGAUUAUUCAUUAAAUUGGAUUAUUAUCAAAUUGGAUUAUUAUUCAUCACCAUGUUUUAUAUUAGGAUUUUUUUUUUAUCAAAUUGGUGGAUUAUUCAUUAAAUUGGAUUAUUAUCAAAUUGGAUUAUUAUUCAUCACCAUGUUUUAUAUUAGGAUUUUUUUUUAUCAAAUUGGUGGAUUAUUCAUUAAAUUGGAUUAUUAUCAAAUUGGAUUAUUAUUCAUUAUAUUGGAUUAUUAUCAAAUUGGAUUAUUAUUCAUCACCAUGUUUUAUAUUAGGAUUUUUUUUAUCAAAUUGGUGGAUUAUUCAUUAAAUUGGAUUAUUAUCAAAUUGGUGGAUUAUUCAUUAAAUUGGAUUAUUAUCAAAUUGGAUUAUUAUUCAUCACUAUGUUUUAUAUUAGGAUUUUUGUUUUAUCAAAUUGGUGGAUUAUUCAUUAAAUUGGAUUAUUAUCAAAUUGGAUUAUUAUUCAUCACCAUGUUUUAUAUUAGGAUUUUUUUUUAUUCAAAUUGGUGGAUUAUUCAUUAAAUUGGAUUAUUAUCAAAUUGGAUUAUUAUUCAUUAUAUUGGAUUAUUAUCAAAUUGGAUUAUUAUUCAUCACCAUGUUUUAUAUUAGGAUUAUUUUUUUUAUCAAAUUGGUGGAUUAUUCAUUAAAUUGGAUUAUUAUCAAAUUGGUGGAUUAUUCAUUAAAUUGGAUUAUUAUCAAAUUGGAUUAUUAUUCAUUAUAUUGGAUUAUUAUCAAAUUGGAUUAUUUUUCAUCACCAUGUUUUAUAUUAGGAUUAUUUUUUUAUCAAAUUGGUGGAUUAUUCAUUAAAUUGGAUUAUUAUCAAAUUGGUGGAUUAUUAUCAAAUUGGAUUAUUAUUCAUUAAAUUGGAUUAUUAUCAAAUUGGAUUAUUAUUCAUCACCAUGUUUUAUAUUAGGAUUUUGUUUUUAUCAAAUUGGAUUAUUAUUCAUUAAAUUGAAUUAUAAUCAAAUUGGAUUAUUAUUCAUUAAUAUUAGGUUUUAUUAUUCCAUAUUAUUUGUAUAAUUACUUAAAUUUUUACAAUCAUUUUCUUUACUUUGUAUUUAAUUCUUCUGUAGAAUAACUUUAUUAUUUAGGUUCUCUUAUUUUAUAAAAAAAUAAUUGUCUAAUUUUCAUGAAAAAUAAAUAUAGGUACGUUUAAGAUGUCCAGUAAACGUGAUCCAGCUUGGGAACAUGGAGACCCAAUAGACGGAAACAAACAUGGCACAAUUUGCAAAUAUUGUGGUCAGGUAAUGAAGAGUGGCGGAGUGACACGACUGAAGUAUCAUCUUAGUGGAUUAGAUCCAUCAAAAAAUGUCCAACGAUGCGAUAAUGUCCCCCCAGAAGUGAAGGCAUUCAUCAGCACAUUAUUAAAAAAAAACAGCAGAAGGAAAAGAUAACACAGGGAAUGGAAAAUAUUUGAGCUGGGCUACGGGGAGAAGUCUAUGGCCAAGCGGUUGACAGUGAUGAUGAUGACGAUGAGGACGAAUGUGAUGAUGACAUGGGACCUGAAGAACGACGCAGUUUGAAACAAGCAUUACGUGCCUCCAAACAGUCAGCAUGGGAAAGAGAACACCUUCAUAAAAUUCCUAAUAGGGGACAAGGUUCCGGGACAAGUGGUGGUGCACAAAUGAGACGGGGAGGCAGUCUUAGAGAAUCACAACCAACACCACCAAUAGCCCCAAGUUUAUAUAAGUCAUCCAACGCACGUCAAAAGAGUGUUUGGAGUUAUUUCAAGGGAGGUAAUGUGAAGGAGGGAAUGGGGCGUCUAAUUAGCAAGUUCUUUAUCUAUGAAAAUGUCCCUGCUGCGAAGGCAUCAUCACAUCAUUUCAAAAAUAUGGUAGUGGGAUGUCAACAGGCCAGUGUUGGAGUACAACCUCCCACUCCCUAUGAGAUAAGAAACAAAUAUUUGGAUAUGGAGUAUAAAGACAUUGGCGAGUAUGUUAACAAGUUGAGGUCAAAGUGGGAAACUAAUGGUUGCACAAUCAUGUGUGACGGAUGGACCGGCCCGACCAGAUUAUCUAUCAUCAACUUCAUGGUAUACUCCAAGGGAAAGACAAUUUUUUUGAAGUCUGUUGAUGCUUCAGACCAUAUAAAGAAUUACAAGUAUAUUUACAAAUUAUUGAGGGAUGUAAUCAUGGAGGUGGGAGAGCAUAAUGUUGUCCAAGUCGUGACCGACAACGGUUCUGCAUUUGUCAAAGCUGGAAAAAAAUUAAUGAAGCAUCAUAAUGUGUUUUGGACAUCAUGUGCAGCACAUUGUAUUGAUCUCAUGUUUGAGGUAAUGGGGAAGAGAGAGAAUGUUGCUACUGUGGUCAAAAGAGCUAGAACGAUCACAAAUUAUAUUUACAAUCACGGUUGGUUGUUGGCAAAGAUGCGUGAAUUUUGCAAAGGAGAAAUUAUUCGUCCAGCUACCACUCGAUUCGCCACCAACUAUAUUGCAUUAAACAGCCUACUCAAGAAGAAAGCAGGGUUGAAGCAACUAUUCACUAGUGACGAUUGGGCCAACCACAAUUUCAGCCGCUCAAAUACAGGUCGUAUGGUGGAAAGUAUAGUACUUGAUCAUGCUUUUUUGGACUCAAACAGAACAUGUGUGUCAAGUGUUUGAACCUCUUUACAAAGUUUUACGGAUCGUUGACACAGAAGUGUAUCCUACUAUGGGGGCAGUAUAUGAGUUGAUGCGUGUAGUGAAGGAUGAAUUGGAAAGAAAACAUGGUGCAAGGUGGGUCAUAAAAAUAAUUGAAGACCGAUGGUAUAAAACAUUAUACCACGAUUUGCAUGCAGCAGGUAUAAAUUAUGUCAUAAUUUGCAAUUCAUUUCUUUAGUUGCAUAAGUAUUAUUUCUCUUAUUAGAGUAUGUGUUUCUUUGAACAGCAUAUUAUUUGAAUCCCCGAUACCAAUACAGACUCGGUGUUGGAGAUGAUGGUAACCUUAUACGUGUUGUACAUAAUGUAUACUCUAAAUUAGACCCUGUAUCACCAGCAGUUGGCCAAUUUGGAAAUGAGAUACACAAUUACUUAAAUUAUAAUAAUUACUUUGUUGGAUUAAACUAACACAAUUUAUUGUAUUCAGCUAACAUGGUUUAAAGAUGCAAGAAGAACAUUUGGAGAACUAACAUCAGUUGCUGCUCGAACAAAUAUGUCUCCUAGUGAGUAUAAACAUAUUUCACUAUAAGUUUAUAAUAGAAUUUGUUGGAGUUAUUAGGCUUAUCAACAUUAUUUUUCAUUGUAGCUGAAUGGUGGAUCAUGUAUGGGACCGAUGCACCAACUGUGAGAAAGUUAGCAAUUAAAGUAUUAUCACAAACAGCUUCCUCAUCUGCUUGUGAAAGAAAUUGGAGCACAUUUGCACUCAUACACACAAAGCAAAGAAAUAAGUUGGCUCAUAGUAGCUUGGAAAAAUUAGUUUAUUGCUACUACAACAUGAAGCUUCAAAUUCGAGAUAAGGAAGUAGAAAUCGAUCAUGUCGACCGUGGUGACCCACUAGAUGUGUUUGAUAUUGUUGGUGAAGAUGAUGAUACGGAGGGUAACCAACUUUUUCAAUGGAUUAGACCUCUUCAUUUAGAUGAUGAUGAAGGCAACCCAGCUCCCAGAGUUGCUGAAGAAGCACGUAAUGAAGGGAUAAAUGUAGAGAAAGAGUAUUAGAGGAGGAGGUGGGAUCUAGCAGCUCUGACUCUUUCGAAGAACUUUUGCACCCAAGACCAAGAAACACUGGAAUUCCACCUUCUUCCAAUCCUACACAACCACAACAUCGUGCUGAUACUAAUGAUAGCUCUAGUACAAGAUCAGGAGACUCACCUACCACCGGAGGUGGGAAUGAUGAAGGACAUAGUGGAGCUGGAGGGUAGUGGUGGUGGAUAUGGAAACUAUUAUGGACCACCACCUCCCGGAUAUAUGAGCCCCUUCACUGGUGAGGCAAACUUCACGCAUGCAACACAGGAUGAUGACCAUGGCAGUAGGCGGGCAGGACCAGGAAUUUGUGCCAUAGGGAAGGACUAUAUUCGCAGAGAAAGAGGCAAGGGGAUUUUGUCAAGUCAAGAAGAUGACUCGUUAUCUAGAACUUCAGACUCUGUUGGAUUGGGAAGUAGUAACUAUGGUUAUACUCAUAACCAACCAUUUCCCUACCCUUCAUAUCCCAUUCCUGUUGGGAUGGAAUCGAGCGACUCAUGGAAACAAUCCCAGCCUCAAUCUUCAAAUGAUUUUUCUUAUGGACAACCUCAACCAAUCUCGGAUCCAUAUGGGUGGUAUAUUAACAAUUACAUGCAAAACUAUUUUGGGGAUUUAUCAUUUGAUAACUACUCUUCACAAUACACUCAUUCUACACAUAGAGAUGAUGAAGAUAGUGAAAAAUUUGAACCUCAUAGGAACUCUAUGUGGUACUAAAGUGUAAAAUAUUGUACUAAUUCAUUAUAUAUAAAUGAUUAUGGUGUGUUUAGACUUCUUUCAUUAAUUACUACAUAUUUUCUACACUCACAAUAUUUGUCAGAUCGCUAUGUAAUCAACUUGAUAAUGUUAAAUCCAUCAUGCAAUGCAUUUCCUUCCAAUUUUUUGUGAUAAAUUAAUAGAUAAUUGACUAAAUAAACAUCCUACAAAGUUUCAAUAAAAAUUUCCAAGUUUUUCUUACAAUUUCCGUGGUUUCCAUGUAAUUUUUAUCGAUAUCGAUAUUUACCGAUAUUUCCAUCGAUAUUUCCGUGUUUUCGGACUACCGAUAUUUCCGAUAUUACCGAUAUCUUCUUCCUUGGAAAGAAUAUAUAAACAUUUGUGAUUCAUCAUUAUAACUCCACGAGUAGAUAAUGGUUACACUUACAUUAUCAAUUAGAUUUUUAAAAUCCUCCGAACCCUCAUGAAUAAUGUUUUUUAUUUGAGGGCAAAAUCAAUAAUAACUAUUGUAGAAGUGUAAAAAAAUGUAAAAAAAAAAUAUACAAUCACUCAUAAUGACAAGCUUUACAACUUUCAUGAAGGGGUCAGCUUCAAAAUCCAACACUAUAAUCCAUAAACCUUAAAUUUAUAUUUAACCAUCGAUUGUCAUUUACGUUUUAUUCUUCUUACUGAAUUUCAUUUUUAACAUUUUCUUUUUUGAAAACGUGAUCAUUUGGCGAAUGUAAGAAGAUGAAUGGUUCAGAUCUUUGAUAUCACGAUUUUGAUAUUUACGAUUAACUGAAAUAUGAGUUGAUGUCAUAUAGUUUGUAGAAACUUUAUAAACAUCAAGCAAUAUUUUCACUAACUGUAAAACUCUGAACAUAAUAUCAACGAUCCAAACCCUUCAUCUUCCUAUAUCCUCUAAUAGAUCAUGUUUUCAAAAAAGAAAAUCCAAAAAAAAAAAAAAUUGAUGAGAAAAAUGAAGCAUAAGUGUAAACAACAAUCAAUGGUUAAAUUUUUAUCUAUGAUUUAUAUGAUUAUAGUGGCGAAUUUCGAAGUUAAGCUCUUCACGAAAGUUGUAAAACUUGUCAUUACAAGCGUUUGUAUAUAUAUUUCUAUAUUUUUUUACACUUCUACAUUAAUUAAAAAACUAUUAAAUACUUUACUUAAAUAACAGCCGUAAGAUAAAUGAGAGUAAAUAUGUACCAUUGGAUUCUAUUUCACUUAAAUAACAGCCGUAAGAUAAAUAAGUAUGUAUAUUCUUAUUUAGUAUUAUGUUUUUCAUUUGAUUAUAUAUUGGUUUAAAAUAUAUUUUCCUUAACGGGUAACGGGUCGGAUCAUAUUAUCUGUUAAUAUUAUCAGGUCGGGUCAUUUUACCCGUUUAUUUUAACGGGUGUUACACUACACAACCUGUUAAGAUAUCGAGUAUGACACGAACACAGAAAAUACGACACGAAUGCCAGGUCUACUUGUGCGAACUUUUUACUUGUCUUGCAUCUUCUUAUUUAAAUCCGAUAAAAUCUUUCCAAAGUAAACGAAUUUUUAGAAAUAAAAUAAGCAACGGAGCAAAAUACAAGUAAGCUUGUGGAUCUGGUCUCAAAAGCCCCAUCGAUAAUGAUGAUUCGGAGAAACAUUACCUUCCAAACUUAGCAUCCAUAAAGUAUUCUCAUUGAGAUAUCCGGAGUACCACCUUACUCCGGUAUCAAAGAUAAAACAUUAAACCCAUGAAGAAUCUUUCGCUCUAUGCUUAUCAAUACAUUUAUCAAUUUAAGAAUUUCAAACCAUAUUUGAAACAACCUGCAAGAAACAAACCAAUAAAAAAAAUUUACCUUGGCCCAAUUCUUGGAUCAAGGUUUUCAAUACUUGCAAUGUAGUACUAGGAAGGGAUUUCUUUCCUAGAGACUGGAUCGCGUGCCAAUAUCUAGUGAAGCUUAAACAAAAGUUUUAUGGAGACUUGGUUAUCGACAUGUGGGUCGAAAGCACUUUUUGAAUCCUUUUGUCAGACCCUAUGCAUCGAACCUGAGCAUUUUCGAUUGGACUACCUUGACUGGCUUAGUCAGAGCAUAUCAGAGCUCCAUUGGAAUAAAAUUCCUCUUAGGGAUUUCCUUGUCUGGAUGCCCCCUUUAGACUUACUAACAUACAAUGUUGCAGAAUAUACUUGACCUAGUACGUUGGUCCAGGAUAGAAGUAGUCGUACUCAGGGUCGGAGUUCAAAGCCACCUUCGGAUGAUUUUUGGAUCGGCCCCUUUCAAAUAUUCCCUUAAAUGGCAUAGAGCCCAGGUUUGAAUGUUAUAACCCAUAACUUUGCUAGUUGUAUAAACUUUCAGGGUGCCGGAGGCAGGACUGGCCCUAAGGGGGUGCCAGGGGUGAGACCGCACAGAGCCCCCGAUUUUUUAGAGGCCCCUGAAUUUAAUAACCUUUAUAAUGUACACAUAUAGAUAGAGUAUGUUGGCAACGUUGCCUUAGAGGAGUUGUCAAGCGCUGAUUCUUACAUUUAAUUGUGCACGGGUUCAACUCCAUGUGGAAUAAUUUUGGGCCUUUUUGAUCUACAUUAUUUUUUUUUUAAAUAUUUGUUAAUUUCUAUCAUUUUAAAAGAUAACUUUUGAAAUAAAUCUAUAUUUAGGAAUAUCAUAAUUAAUUAAAAUCCUACAAAGUUUGAAGAUAUAAUCUUUAAAAGGCCCCCUUUCCAUCCAUGACAUCAUUUAAUUGAAUACAUAUCAUUCGUUUACUUUUGGUCACCAUUUAAGCAUCAUCUAUUUUCAUUCCAUUUGAAGAUCAUUUAGUCAUCCAUAAAAAAUAAAACAAUUAUAGUACAACUUUGCUCACAACACUAAAGUGUAGGUGAGCAGGUGAUACUCGCACCGAAUUGAUUACCGUUAGAUUAAUUUGGUUUAAUUGAUUUAAGAUACGAAUCUCAAAUUUUAACUAAUCUAACGACAAUUAACCAAGCGAGGGUUAGAAUCAUCCUCACUUUAGGGCGAGAAAAAAAAAUGCAAUAAAAAACUAAUAGUUCAUUAUAAGAUGCUAGAAAUAUCAUAACUAGUGAUUUGUUUAGCUGUUGAUAAUAAAGAGCAUAAGUGGUUCUGAUUAUGAUAUAUGUACCGUGAUAUGAUAGGUACAAAGCCACCACACAUGCUUUUUGUAUUUAAAAAGUAAGGAAUUUCAAACCCAAAAACAUAGGGAAUGCAUACAGGUACAUAGCCACCAAACUAUGCUUCUUUUUUAUUUAUUUUCUUUUGCGUUUUUACCAAUUUAUACACUAGAAGAAAAAAUAUAUAAAUUAUAAAUGAAGAUAUAGCAACCAAAAUUUAGACCAUGUAAGGGCCUCUGUUUGAGUCUCCCAUAUGGCCUCCAAAAUCUUAGGACCGCCCUGGCCAGAGGGUGUACUGAACUUAUAGGUUAGGGGCUCAUGUGUCCGUACUCGUAGCCUGCCAACCAUUGCCGCGCAUAUUACAGUUUGAGUCUCCCAAGCUGCUAACCGUUUAUCAUGGGAUGGGCUAAGAAAGACUCCUUUAACAGUGCUACUUUGAAUUUUAAACUUGCAUUCAUGCGCGAAGUUUUCAAAUUUUAUGCUUUGUUCAAAGAGUGUGGGGUAUUCCCUACAUCACUAAAAAGAGUAAGGAAAGAACAUAUAAGAUAAAUAAAGUUUUUAUGGCAAAAAAAUAGGUUUGAUUCACAAGGGGGUGUGAUGAAUCUGAGAAGGAUUGCCUAUAUAUCUUCAGGAAGGAGAAUCAAAUCGGUGUAUUUCUAAGAAAAAGAUGAUAUAAUGUAAAUGUUGGAACCAAAUAUGCUCUGUUAGCGGUGGUUGAGCACAAAUCCAAGUAAUCCUUAACAAUCUGCAAAACAGUAAAACAACUGUAAGCAAACCUUAGGCUAGGGGGGAAUGUGCUGGCCAAAGGCUAUUCGAUGGUCAAGGUAGUGAAUGAUCUUUAAACUCAAGCAAUGGGCAAGAGAAUUAGAGUGUAAAGAUUGCGUUACCAUAUAUGAACCCUAGAUGGGUGUAUUUAUACUGUUGGAGUUUGAUUACUUGUGGCGCACGCCUAUCCUUAGAUUGUAUAGAUUCCAAGACUUAUAGGAUUUGAUUGUGUCCAUAUCCAGAUCAGAUGACUUGUUUUGCGGAACAAGCAUGGUCAUCCAACGAAGUCGCUAGGAGUGAAAGAUUUUAUAGUGUUUUUUAGGCUUUACGAAGUGAAGCCUCUCCCCUAAGAUUUUGAAUGAAUUCCCUUAAACUCACAUGAAGUCUAUGAAUCCUUAUUAAACUUCAUGCAUUUAUAACUCUUUUAAAGUCCUCAAAAAACUCAAUAAAAUACACCUCCUAAAGGACACUUAGAUAAAGAUAAAGAUAAAGAUUAAAAAGUUAAAAGAAAUUGAAACUAAGAAGGAAAAAUAGAAAAGCAUCUUAAAAAGGAGAAAUUGACUAAUUAGUCAUUGAAAAAAGACCGAAUUCAGAUGAUUAAAAUUCUAAAAGAGAAUCGGUAAAUAAGAAAAAAAAAACUCCUUAGAUUACAUGUGCAUAUGAUUCAAAAUUGGUAAGCAAAAUGCCAUGUGGGAUCCAUGCACUAAAGGAGGGAUAUGUACAUUUAUUUUUGUUUGACUAAGAUGCUUCACUAAAACACCAUAAGAAGGUACAAUGGACAACUCAAAAUGGUCCAUUCGAAACACAAACAUAAAAGCUUCAUCAAAAGAUAUUGUUGCAUCAAAACUAUCACAAACAGUGGCAAAGUCAGGAAUUGUCUGGAAGAGCGGUGAAAUUUAAAAGGGUAAAAGGUCCUAAAAAUAUUUAGACAACCAAUUUCUUUUAGAUAGUAGAUAAUAUUAAUUCAUUCAUAUUUUAUCAAUAAAAACAAUUUACAACUGUUGUCGCGUGAGGUUUCAUAUCAUGAAACCGUGGCAUAAUAGGCUCAUUACCAAUAAAAGCAAAAACAUCUAUCUCAAUAUAAACAACCAUGCCUUUACUUAAGCAUUGAUCUCUCAUGUUGUUACGCAGUUGUUUUUCACAAUAUUUGAGGUUUUUAAUAAAAUUUUUGUUGAAAACUUUUGAUAAUAGUUCAAAAUAAUAAUAAAAAAGAAGGAAAAAAAAUAGAAGUGGCUUGCAUCUGUAACAUUGUUAGCCACAACAAAAAUAAAACUUUGCGUUUCAACUUAAAUAGCUGUAAAUCCAAGAACCGUCACCUUUUUCUUCCUUCAAGUUUCAACUCCUUUAAACCAUUGCCUUAUGCAACAGUCGCGACUUGCACCAGAAAUGCCAAUAUUUGGACUUAUUUCCAAGUAUUCACUGGCAAAACCGAUGCUAAACGGGCAUUCACUUAUAUCGGUGGGAUAGAUUUUCGCCUAUAGUAAAGAUAAAAAAAAAAAAAGCGCGUAGAGGAGCAAUAACAUUCUCUGCAGGUUCCGUGCAGUAAAGAGGAAUCAAGGGGGCAGAUUCUCCCUCUUAGGGUUGAUUUCUGACGACCUGAGAUGUGGCCACACCUCCUUUGGCCUCUGUUCACCAGCGAUCACAAAGCAAAACAAAAAAAAAAUCAUAAUCAUAGAAAGAUAUAAAAAGUUAAAAAUCAAGAAAAUUGACAAUAAAUUUGAUAAAUAUUGAUGAACUACAUUUCUUAGUUUGCACUAUAAGGUAUUAAAAUUGUAUCAAUUUAGCCUUAACUGAACUAAUUGUUAAACUUUCAUUAAAUAUAUCAAAUAGUGUGCGUAAAGCCUUUAUAUGGACUAAUGUAUAAGUCAUAUUGGCACUAGAUUGACAGACAAGAAAAAACUCUGAUUUAGAAGUGAAAAAAAUAUUAUUAGACUGGUUGCGGAAUGCCUGGCGUUGCAAGAUGGCAUGUGGUUGGCUAAGGCUAAAGGCUUGACUCGUAUUAUGGUGGAGGGUGAUUUAAAACUGGUGAUUGAGUCUAUUAGUGGAUCCUAUAACCCCCCUUGGAGAUUGAAGACCAUCCUAGAAUAUAUUCGGUGGCUUGCCGGGUCGUUUGAGGAAAUUUGCUGAAAGCAUGUCCUUAGGAAAGCAAAUUUUCUGACGGAUACUAUUACUAUAGUGGGUUAUUCGGUCUUUGAUUUUCAUGUUUGAGAUAGAACUCUUCCUUUAGAAGCCCAUCAGGCUUUCCUCUUUGAUUCUAUCCAAACCGGAUGCCCCAAUGGCUUUUCUCUUUAAUGCAGGCAUUUUUCUAUUAAAAAAACGAAAAAAUUAAAUAGGCGCAACCAAGCUUUGUAGGUUUUUGUUUUAUUUUAGGUUGCUUAGUAAGGUGGGUUAUACUCUAUACUCUAGGUACAGAGAGAGAAAAGGUGGAAAUAAUAAAUGAAUGGAAAGAAUGAAUAGUAAAAAGCAAAAAUAAUUAGAAAAGAGGACAAUGAACGGUAAUUAAAAUAAAAAUACGAAAGAGAGGGAUUAAAAAAAACAAGACCCAUUCGAUUUUGUGAUUUCUGAUCUCCUAAAAACCCUACCUUUUGACCACUUGACGGGUCGGUUUGUUACCACAACACACACUCUCUCUCUCCUCCCCCUUCCCCUUCCCCUUCUCUCUCUUACCAAAACACCGGAACACCAAAACAACUCUCCCUCUCUCUCUCUCUCUCUCUCUCUCUCUUCAAGUUUUUCUUUCAUUUCACUCUGCGCUUUCUCAUGGUUUCCCAAUAAAACCCUAAUCUUUCUCCUCACUCACUCUCCAGGUACUCCAAUCAAACCCUAAUCACUCUCUUAAUCACUCGCUUACGGUAAGAUUUUCGGAUAACUAGGUUUGAUUGAUUUGAUUUGGGGUUUGUGGAUCUGCGUGUUUGGUUGCAGAGAAAAGUUGAAGGAAAAAAAAAUUGGGAAUUAAGCGUAGGAAUAUAUGUCCUUCAAUCAAUCAAGGUCGGAUAAGAACGAGACGCAGUACCGGAAAACAGGGCGAACCGCAAGCUCUAAUCAGCAGCACAGGGGAUACACAACAUCUUACCCUAAGGGCACCGGCGCCGGUGGGCCCGGCCCUUCCAUCUCCUCCAACCGCAGGUGCAUAUAUAUAUAUAUAUAUAUGUAUAUCUCUGUGUGUCUAUCGUAUCUACUUAUUGCAUAUGUGUCUUUGUGUAGAGUUUGUUUCUGAUCAGUUUUACUUGACUUUGAAGUUUUAACAAUCCAUGCAAUUAUAUUGCUUUGAUUGUAAUUUCAAAUUUGGGUUUUUUUAAAUACGUUUUGGAAUUUUUGAGAUUGUUGGAAGUUAGGGUUUGAUGAUUUUUAUUUCAAAUAUUCAGUUAUAAGAAGAAUAAUAACAAUGCACAAGGAGGACAAUCCAGGGCAAGUGUAACCACUGUAAAUACUCAGGAUUCCGGUAUUGCUUUUGCACAACGUGGCGUUGUACAAAACGGAGCCCAUGCACAGCCCCAAUUGCAUGGUACAGAUUUCGAAGUUUCUGUUCUCUUUCAUUCUAGAAAUUUAUAUGAUAGUGUCGUGAUUGUUUUAAUAGACUUUUAUGGGCAGUUGAAGGAGUUUGGGAAUCUGAGAUAAAUGGUUUUUUUUUUAUUAAAUCUGUGUUGCCCAUUUUGUUUGAUUCUCAUUUCUUGGCAAUGUUUUCCUGUGAUUGAUCUGAUGUAGGAGGUUCUGAUGCACCUGUUGCAAGCACAGCUUCCCGUACAGCUGAAGCAUCAGCCUCUCAGAGAAGCUCCCGAACUGUUCCAAAACCUCCCACUUCUCAAUCUGCCUCCAUGACUUCUGACACAAGAACACCCACUACACCAGCGAAGCGUAAGUUCACACUCUGGACCAUGGAUUUUGUUGUACUCAAUGUUGGGGGAAUGUUGGCGUAUUUUCACUGUCAUAUAGUAAUGUUGUGAUGUCAAUGCUAGAUUCUCUUGGCAGUGUUAUCCCAAAUAGUUGAUUUAGUAAUGAUUUUAACGUGCUGAUAUAUGAUUUAUGAUAUAUUAGUAAAUGCCAAUAAUCAGGUUUUAACAUUUUCUGUUGGUUUUAGCCCCAGGAGAUGCGUCCAAGGGCUUUGCCUUUCAGUUUGGGUCUAUAAGCCCUGGCUUCAUGAAUGGGAUGCAGGUAUUGUUAUAUGCUAGCGAACUCUUGAUUAAAAUUCUCUAAUUUCCUGUAUUUCUAAGCGCUGAACAAAUUAUAGCAUGUUUUUAAAAGUGGAAAGUUGUGUUCCUUGUAGAUUCCUGCUCGAACCAGCUCAGCUCCCCCAAAUUUGGAUGAGCAGAAACGUGAUCAGGUUAGCUUGUUUUUCUUCUCUCUCAUCUUCCUGCCUUUUUUUACUGAAUAGUCUGAUUGGUUCAACUGCACAUGAUGUUUUUUGGCAGAAGUGUAUGUAUACAGUAGUUUUUGUCUUCCUAUUAUGUCCUUCUGUUUACUUGUUUCAUGAAAUAUUAUUCUUUGUAUAUGAAUUUAAAAAUGACUUAAUUUCAAUGAGUAAUUUGGUAUCAUUAUGCUUUUCAAUUUUGUUUAUUAAUUUGUGAAAUCACUAUGUCAUGCUUGAACAUGCAGGCGCGCCAUGAUUCUUUUAGAGUUGUGCCUUCAGUGCCAGUCCCUACUGUUCCUAAACAGCAGUUACCAAGGAAAGAUUCAGCGUCCAUUGAUCAACCUAAUGCUGCUGAGGUUCAUAUGGUACCCAAGGUUAAAAAGGAUGUGCAAGUCUCACAUGCACCCCCUCCUAGUCAAACUCAGAAACCUUCUCCUCAUCCAAUGGCUGGGAUGUCCAUGCCAAUGCCAUUUCAUCAGCCACAGGUUCCAGUGCAAUUUGGUGGCCCCAACCAGCAGAUCCAAUCUCAGAGUAUGAGUGCCAGUUCAAUUCAAAUGCCAAUGCCUAUGCAAUUAUCAAUUGGUAGUACUCAAGUACAGCAGCCAGUGUUUGUUCAAGGUCUCCAGCCCCAUCCAAUGCAGCCCCAGGGAAUUAUGCAUCAGGGCCAGAACAUGACUUUUACCCCCCAAAUGGGUCCUCAAAUACCUCAGAUGGGCAACUUGGGGAUCAGCAUGGCAUCACAAUACCCCCAACAACAGGGUAGGAAGUUUGGCGGCCCUCGUAAAACUCCUGUCAAGAUUACACAUCCAGAUACACAUGAAGAGUUGAGGCUUGAUAAAAGGACAGAUUCAUAUCCAGAUAGUGGGCCAUCAGCCCCCAGGACUCACCCAAACAUUCCUCCUCAAUCCCAGCCUAUUCCAUCAUUUGCCCAUCCUCAUACUACCACCUUUUAUGCCAAUUCUUACAAUCCCAGCUCCCUAUAUUAUCCUGCUCCAAGUUCUCAUCCCUUAACUAGUAGUCAUAUGCCGCCCAAUUCACAAGCACCGAGGUUCAGCUAUCCAGUCAGCCAGGGUUCCCAACCUGUACCUUUCAUUAAUCCGUCAUCUCAUAGUACCCUGCCUGUUAGCAAGUCUGGGUCCCUUAUGCACAAUGUGGUGGAUCCACCUAACCUGGAACAUGCACGUGAUGUACAUAAUAUAAGUGCCUCUGUUCCAUCAGCAACUAUUCCUGUUGUAAUUAAACCACCUGCUGGAACUGUUGGAGAGAAGGUUGUCGACCCAUUGCCAAACAGCUCAACUGUUGUUGAAAAGGGUGAAUUAUCAAAGCCUGUGAGACAAUCUGGAGAAAUUAUCCAAUCUGCAGGUGACCAAUCCAUCCUCAAAUCAUUGCCGGUGAUGGAAAAAAUAUCUGCAAAUGCACCUGCCACUGCUUCAGUUGAAAAACAGGUUUCAAAUCUUUUGUCCUCUUCUGCAGCUGCCCCAACUGAGGAGUCUGCACCAGUUGUGAUCAUCACUGAACCCAGAAAAAAAGAAACUCUUAGUCGGUCAAACUCAAUUAUAGAUCAGCAAAAGAAUCCAGGGAGGAAGGGAAAUGUUCAACCACAGCUUCAGGUACUUAUUUUCAGUAUUUUUAGAUAACCUUCUAGUUUCUUCUCUUUAACAGUAGCAUUUAAAUUUGUGUCAUCAUUUUACAUCCUUGAUGACAGGUUGUUGGGCAGUCUAGCUCUACAUCAAGCGUUCUGUCUCAGUCUGCAGAGCAUGGUAUACCUUCUACUAGUGAUGUUUCUGGCACUGUAGAAGCUAAUACAACUCUUGCUCCAGUAACUAGUGCAUCUGUUUCAAAGUCAGCGAAGGAACCACUGUCAGAUUUUAGUGCUCCUACUGCUGAUUGUUUGGAAUCAAAGACUGAAGUUAUUGGGCAAGGCACUAUUCCCAUCUCUUCUGAAAUAUCUGCUCCUGGGAUGGUUGUUGGUACUUCAGAUUCCGUUCAUCGUACUCAACUAGACAGUUCUUUACAACCAGAUGAACAAGGACAGCGUGACUUGAUGGGGGCAGAACAAAGUUUGUCUGGAAAUUACAAACAGGAUACUGAAGCUCAUGGUAUUUCUGCAGAAUCCAUCUCUGUAAAACCUCUGGAAUCUGCUAAAGUACCUGCAGAUCAUUCUGUUGUGAAGGAAACAGCUAAGGGAAGUACUGUUGCAAUCUCAGACACUGCACAAGGAGGGCAGGGCCAUUAUGAGUGUCUCCAUGCAGAAUCUGGUGGAAUGGAUGCCUCUUUAAGCAGAAGUGAUAGUAUGGGUGGUAGUGAAGUUUUUUUUUCAAAAUCUAACAAAUUAGAGCAGCAUUCUUCUUCUGUUCAAACUACCGAACUUUCGGGUAGAACUUCAAAAACUGAAACUGAAGGUACAUGUGAGGAGAAUAUUGGUGGUGGUGAGGGAAAUAUUGAGAAUAUUGGUAGUGGUGGGGAUUCUCGUUCAGAGUCAGACUUCAGGGACAAACCUGAACUGAAUAGAACUAAGAGUACUAUUUCAAAGGGGAAGAAGAAAAGAAAAGAAAUUCUUUCUAAGGCAGAUGCUGCUGGCGUGACCUCUGAUCUUUAUGGGGCAUACAAGAACCCUGAAGAAAAGAAGGGUAUUGAAAACACUGAAAGUAUUAUGACCAGUAUAAUUUCAAAGCAGGUAGCUACUGAUGCUCCUCAGCAAGAUGCUGUAGGGAGAGAGAAAGAUGCACCGGUUAAAGCUGAGCCAGAGGAUUGGGAAGACGCUGCUGACAUCUCUACCCUAAAACUGGAAACCUCAGAUACUGGAGAGCUGGUCUGUGGAGUGGAUGAUUCUGACAAAGAUGGACAUGAACAUGGGGCGAAGAAAUAUUCCAGAGAUUUCCUUAUGAAAUUUUCUGAGCAAUUUACUGAGCUUCCAGAAGGUUUUGAAAUUUUGUCUGAUAUAGCAGAGAUCUUGGAUGCUAAUGUGAAUGCUGCUACUUCUAUUGAUUAUGAUUCGCUCCCUAGUCCGGGAAGAAUUGUUGAUAGGCAAGGAGGGGCCGCUAGACUUGACCGUCGUGGGAGUGGAAUAAUGGAUGAUGAUAGAUGGAAUAAGGGAGGUGCUGCCAAUUUCCGAACUGGCCAAGGACCAAAUUUUGGUGUUUUGAGGAAUCCACGUGCACCGACAUCAGUUCAGCAGCAUGUUAGAGGGAUCCUGCCUGGGCCUGCUCACUCUGUUGGUCAUCAGGGAGGGAUGCAAAGAAAUAAUUCUGAUGCUGACAGGUGGCAGAGAGCUACAAAUUUUCAACCUAAGGGCUUGAUGCCUUCUCCUCAUACUCCAUUACAGGUGAUGCACAAAGCUGACAGGAAGUAUGAAGUGGGUAAAGUGAGUGAUGAAGAGCAGGCCAAGCAAAGGCAGUUAAAGGCUAUACUGAACAAGUUAACUCCUCAAAACUUUGAAAAACUAUUCGAGCAAGUGAAAGCUGUUAAUAUAGAUAAUGCAACGACUCUAACUGGUGUCAUUUCACAGAUCUUUGACAAGGCUCUUAUGGAGCCUACUUUCUGUGAGAUGUAUGCUAACUUCUGUUUUUAUCUUGCUGGAGAGUUGCCUGAUUUCAGUGAGGACAAU
rnacentral:lncRNA from 1 species